GUUUUUUUUUGUUCUAUCGUAACUAAUUAUGUGUCCAUGUUACAAUGUAUAUCUUUUAGUGAGGUUAUUGCUGGUGGGUUCAGGAUUUUUCAGACCAGGUAGAAGGUGUGAGUCCUUAGGUGUUGUCCAGAUGUGCUUCAUACCUACCAAAAAUCAUGAGUUUUAGCUAGAAAUGUUAACAUUGAGCUAUGGCUGUAGAUAGCUCGGUUUGGAGUUGCAUUUCCUUACAUCUAACAACACGAAGCAACAAGGGCGCCUUUCCCUUAUCACUGGCCUCCAGCGUCACACAAUACUCCUGUAGGAAGGCCGGCUGUAUGGGCUCCAGUGUAAUGUGUGCUCUUUUGUGCUCCAGCGUAUGGGCUCCUGUGCGAGCAUUUCAUUUUUUGUUGCUUUUAGGAAUAUUAUUUUGUUUUCUGGACAGCUUCAGCUGCUUUUAAGUUUGUAUAAGAUUGAACUAUGUAAUAUUUCAUUGUCUUGCAAUGGAGCCGUGGAGAGCCUCCCACUUUCUAAAAGAAAAAAAGGUGUCCUUUCAUUCAGGUAAGCAAUAGAAUACCGGUAAGCAUAAUCUAAGACUUAUCUCACAUAUUGUUUGACCUAGAGCUUUGAGGUGCAAAAUUUACCAAAUUGAAUCAUAGUACAAAUGGUUCAGUCCAAUUUUAUUUCGAAACGGCUCCACACACGACAAACUAUGGGCGAACGACUUGAGAAUCCAACGGCCGUUGCUCGGGCCUGGACAAGAUUCCUCCGCUGCAUUUAAUUGUCGUCUGCGAAUCAUCCAAUAUUAUUGUCCACGUAGCACUGCUCAUUUUAGUUUCAUGGAGCCGUCGUACAUUUAUUGGAACAGUUAGAUGUUAACCGUAUUUUGGGAAAGUAUUAUCUUACUAAAGCAAUUUGAUGUGGUAGCAUGCAUGAGUUUUCGAUAAAUUUGUACAAAUCUUUAACCUCCAGAAUAUUUUUCUGUUGUACUAUUUCUGCUUCUGGAAUAAUAUGACCAUUGAUCCUUGGCUUCUUUCUAAUCACCACUUAGGAUGCAAUAUAGGAGAUCAUCUUGAAAUAUAAAAACCUCCACCAACCAUGCCUUGCUAAGACAAGCACAUUAUGAAAUAUACCCCAACUACAUGGUUGUGUGUUUGAAAUUCCAGUGUGUGUGGGCGAGGGUGGAAGGGGUCGAGGAUUCGACCCGGAUGCAUUAUUGACAACCCUGUGGAGAGAUUAGACUAGGGAGGCUACUUGUAGUAGAGGGAGACGAAGAUGUGCGAAUAGUAGUGGUGAAAGAAGAAGAGUGUGAUUGAGUGGUGAAACAGUAGUCAAGAGUGUUGUCUGUUGUGCAUGAGUAUCCUAUAGAUAGACACGAUUGAAAUAUGUAUGGCCCCGUUGCAACGCACGGGCAAAUAGCUAGUAGAGAUAUAGAGAUUUUGCCAAUUAUUAACCGAAUCUCCUCACUCUCACUAACUAACUCCAGUCACUACGAUGCCGGAUUUGGCGGUGGAUACAUGUCAUCAUGGCGUGCUCGCCCAGACAAUGUGCCUUGCAAGUGCCUGUCAUUGGGCCCCUCCUGGCCUCCUGUUCAACCAUGGCCUCUGUCGUCAACAAGAAGCCGCCAACGACAACAUUGACUAGGACACGCUUGCGGUGAAGUCCAUGUUGCGGAACGUAGUAAUUUCAAAAUUUUCCUACGCACAUGCAAGAUCAUGGUGAUGCAUAGCAACGAGAGGGGAGAGUGUUGUCCACGUACCCUCGUAGACCGAAAGCGGAAGCGUUAGAACAACGCGGUUGAUGUAGUCGUACGUCUUCACGGCCCGACCGAUCAAGCACCGAAACUACGGCACCUCCGAGUUCUAGCACACGUUCAGCUCGAUGACGAUCCCCGUACUCCGAUCCAGCAGAAUGUCGGGGAAGAGUUCCGUCAGCACGACGGCGUGGUGAUGAUCUUGAUGUUCUACCAUCGCAGGGCUUCGCCUAAGCACCGCUACAAUAUUAUCGAGGAGGACUAUGGUGGAGGGGGGCACCGCACACGACUAAGAGAUCAAGAGAUCAAUUGUUGUGUCUAUGGGGUGCCCCCCUCCCCCGUAUAUAAAGGAGUGGAGGAGGGGGCCGGCCAACGGGGGUGGCGCGCCCUAGGGGGGGGGAGUCCAACCCCCACCGGGAGUAGGACUCCCCCCUUUCCUAUUAGGAGAGGGAGAGGGAAGGAAGAGGAGGGAGGGAGGAAGGAAAGGGGGGGCCGGCCCCCUCCCAAUUCGGAUUGGGCUUGGGGGGGGUGGCGCGCCCCCUCCUUUGCUCCUCUCCCCUCCUUUCCACUAAGGCCCAAUAAGGCCCAUAUACCUCUCGGGGGGUUCCGAUAACCUCCCGGAGCUCCGGUAUUGUCCCAAUCUCACCCGGAACCUUUCCGGUGUCCAAAUAUAGUCGUCCAAUAUAUCGAUCUUUAUGUCUCGACCAUUUCGAGAGUCCUCGUCAUGUCCGUGAUCACAUCCGGGACUCCUAAGAACCUUCGAUACAUCAAAACUCAUAAACUCAUCAUAAAAACUGUCAACGAAACCUUAAGAGUGCAUACCCUACGCGUUGGAGAACUAUGUAGACAUGACCGAGACACGAUUCCGGUCAAUAACCAAUAGCGGAACCUGGAUGCUCAUAUUGGCUCCUACAUAUUCUACGAAGAUCUUUAUCGGUCAAACCGCAUAACAACAUACGUUGUUCCCUUUGUCAUCGGUAUGUUACUUGCCCGAGAUUUGAUCGUCGGUAUCCCAAUACCUAGUUCAAUCUCGUUACCGGCAAGUCUCUUUACUCGUUACGUAAUGCAUCAUUCCGUAACUAACUCAUUAGCUACAUUGCUUGCAAGGCUUAUAGUGAUGUGCAUUACCGAGAGGGCCCAGAGAUACCUCUCUGACAAUCGGAGUGACAAAUCCUAAUCUCGAAAUACGCCAACUCAACAUAUACCUUCGGAGACACCUGUAGAGCUCCUUUAUAAUCACCCAGUUACAUUGUGAGGUUUGGUAGCACACAAAGUGUUCCUCCGGUAAACGGGAGUUGCAUAAUCUCAUAGUCAUAGGAACAUGUAUAAGUCAUGAAGAAAGCAAUAGCAACAUACUAAACGAUCAAGUGCUAAGUUAACGGAAUGGGUCAAGUCAAUCACAUCAUUCUUCUAAUGAUGUGAUCCCGUUAAUCAAAUGACAACUCAUGUCUAUGGCUAGGAAACACAACCAUCUUUGAUCAAUAAGCUAGUCAAGUAGAGGCAUACUAGUGACACUAUGUUUGUCUAUGUAUUCACACAUGUAUUAUGUUUCCGGUUAAUACAAUUCUAGCAUGAAUAAUAAACAUUUAUCAUGAAAUAAGGAAAUAAAUAAUAACUUUAUUAUUGCCUCUAGGGCAUAUUUCCUUCAGUCUCCCACUUGCACUAGAGUCAAUAAUCUAGUUCACAUCGCCAUGUGAUUUAACACCAAUAUUCAUAUCUGUAUAUGACUAACACCCAUAGUUGACAUCGUCAUGUGACCAACACCCAAAAGGGUUUACUAGAGUCAAUAAUCUAGUUCACAUCGCUAUGUGAUUAACACCCAAAGAGUACUAAGGUGUGAUCAUGUUUUGCUCGUGAGAGAAGCUUAGUCAACGGGUCUGUCAUAUUCAGAGCCGUAUAUAUUUUGCAAAUAUUCUAUGUCUACAAUGCUCUGCACAGAGCUACUCUAGCUAAUUGCUCCCACUUUCAAUAUGUAUCCAGGUUGAGGCUUAGAGUCAUCUAGAUCGGUGUAAAAGCUUGCACCGAUGUAACUCUUUACGACGGGCUCUUUUAUCACCUCCAUAAUUGAGAAAUAUUUCCUUAGUCCUCACUAAGGAUAUUCUUGACCAAUGUCCAGUGAUCUACUCCUAGAUCACUAUUGUACUCCCUUGCCAAAUACAAAGCAAGGUAUACAAUAGGUCUGGUACAUAGCAUAGCAUACUUUAUAGAACCUAUGACUGAGUGAUGACCCACAAGUAUAGGGGAUCUAUCGUAGUCCUUUCGAUAAGUAAGAGUGUCGAACCCAACGAGGAGCAGAAGGAAAUGAUAAGCGGUUUUCAGCAAGGUAUUCUCUGCAAGUACUGAAAUAAGUGAUAACAGAUAGUUUUGUGUAAGGUAAAUUGUAACGAGCGACAAGUAACAAAAGUAAAUAAGGUGCAGCAAGGUGGCCCAAUCCCUUUUGUAGCAAAGGACAAGCCGGAACAAACUCCUAUAAUAGGAAAAGCGUUCCCGAGGACACAUGGGAAUAUCGUCAAGCUAGUUUUCAUCACGCUCAUAUGAUUUGCGUUCGGUACCUUGAUAAUUUGAUAUGUGGGUGGACCGGUGCUUGGGUACUGCCCUUACUUGGACAAGCAUCCCACUUAUGAUUAACCUCUAUUGCAAGCAUCCGUAACUACAACAAAAGUAUUAAGGUAAACCUAACCAUAGCAUGAAACAUAUGGAUCCAAAUCAGCCCCUUAUGAAGCAACGCAUAAACUAGGGUUUACGCUUCUGUCACUCUAGCAACCCAUCAUCUACUUAUUACUUCCCAAUGCCUUCCUCUAGGCCCAAAUAAUGGUGAAGUGUUAUGUAGUCAACGUUCACAUAACACCACUAGAGGUUAGACAACAUACAUCUUAUCAAAAUAUCGAACGAAUACCAAAUUCACAUGACUACUAAUAGCAAGACUUCUCCCUUGUCCUCAGGAACAAACGUAACUACUCACAAAGCAUAUUCAUGUUCAUAACCAGAGGGGAUAUAAUGUGCAUAAAGGAUCUGAACAUAUGAUCUUCCACCAAAUAAACCAAGUAGCAUCAACUACAAGGAGUAAUCAACACUACUAGCAACCUACAAGCACCAAUCCCGGACUUGGAGACAAGAAUUGGAUACAAGAGAUGAAGUAGGGUUUGGAGAUGAGAUGGUGCUGGUGAAGAUGUUGAUGGAGAUUGCCCUCUCCCGAUGAGAGGAGCGUUGGUGAUGACGAUGGUGAUGAUUUCCCCCUCUCGGAGGGAAGGGUCCCCGGCAGAGCAGCUCUGCCGGAGCCCUAGAUUGGUUCCGCCAAGGUUCCGCCUCGUGGUGGCGGAGUCUCGUCCUGAAAGGUUGCUUAUGAUUUUUUUUCUCAUCGAAAGACUUCAUAUAGGAGAAGAUGGGCGUCGGAGAGCCACCAGGGGCCCACGAGGUAGGGGGCGCGCCCAGGGGGGAGGGGCACGCCCCCCACCCUCGUGAGCAGGGUGUGGGCCCCCUGGCCUUCAUCUUUGGCGACGAUUUUUCUUUAUUUCUUUUAAGAUAUUCCGUGGAGUUUCAGGACUUUUGGAGUUGCGCAGAAUAGGUCUCCAAUAUUUGCUCCUUUUCCAUCCAGAAUUCCAGCUGCCGCCAUUCCCCCUCUUCAUGGUAAACCUUGUAAAAUAAGAGAGAAUAGCCAUAAGUAAUGUGACAUAACGUGAAAUAACAGCCCAUAAUGCGAUAAAUAUCGAUAUAAAAGCAUGAUGCAAAAUGGACGUAUCAACUCCCCCAAGCUUAGACCUCGCUUGUCCUCAAGAGAAAAGCCGAUAACAAUAAAUAUGUCCUCAUGUUUAGAGGUAGAGGCGUCGAUCAAAAUAAAAUACGGACAUGAAGGCAUCAUGAUUAUUUUCAUAGCAGCAACAUAAAUAGAUUUUGUCAUAUGAUUGCUCAUGUUCAAAUGAUGAUCUUUUCAAAGUGCAAAAGUAUGAAUCGGAAACCUUAUUGGGCACUGACAAAUUAUAACCUCAGUCAUUGAAGCAAUUGCAAUUUAUCAUAACAGCGGAAAGAGUCUAUGUCAGAGCUUAAAAGCAAGUUCACAUACUAAACUAUCACUUAGUCCUUCAUAAUUGCUAACACUCACGCAAUACUUGUGGUUACGGAGUUUUAAUCGAACACAGAGAAAGAUAGGGGCUUAUAGUUUUGCCCCACAACCUUUUACCUCAAGGUAAUGUCAACAAUAAUAAUUCAUGCUCCCCUACAUCCAGUUGGGUAUAUUGUUGGGGAACGUAGUAAUUUCAAAAAAAUUCCUACGCACACACAAGAUCAUGGUGAUGCAUAGCAACGAGAGGGAAGAGUGUUGUCCAUGUACCCUCGUAUACCGUAAGCGGAAGCGUUAUGACAACGCGGUUGAUGUAGUCGUACGUCUUCACGAUCCAACCGAUCCAAGUACCGAACGUACGGCACCUCCGAGUUCAGCACACGUUCAGCUCGAUGACGAUCCCCGGACUCCGAUCCAACAAAGUGUCGGGGAUAAGUUCCGUCAGCACGACGGCAUGGUGACGAUGAUGAUGUUCUACCGGCGUAGGGCUUCGCCUAAACUUCGCGACGAUAUGACUGAGGUGGAAUAUGGUGGAGGGGGGCACCGCAUACGGCUAAGGAACGAUCUUGAAGAUCAACUUGUGUGUCCUAGGGUGCCCCCCUGCCNNNNNNNNNNNNNNNNNNNNNNNNNNNNNNNNNNNNNNNNNNNNNNNNNNNNNNNNNNNNNNNNNNNNNNNNNNNNNNNNNNNNNNNNNNNNNNNNNNNNNNNNNNNNNNNNNNNNNNNNNNNNNNNNNNNNNNNNNNNNNNNNNNNNNNNNNNNNNNNNNNNNNNNNNNNNNNNNNNNNNNNNNNNNNNNNNNNNNNNNNNNNNNNNNNNNNNNNNNNNNNNNNNNNNNNNNNNNNNNNNNNNNNNNNNNNNNNNNAAGGAGCCAAGGGGGGGGGGGGCGGCCGGCCAAGGAGGGCGCGCCAAGGGGGAGUCCUACUCCCACCGGGAGUAGGACUCCCUUCUUUCCUAGUUGGAGAAGGAGAAGGGGGGAGGAGGAGGAAGAGGGGAAGGAAAGGGGGGGCGCCGCCCCCCUCUCCUUGUCCUAUUCGGACUAGGGAGAGGAGGGGCGCAGCCCACCUAUUGCCUCCUCUUCUCUUCUUCCUUAGGGCCCAUAAGGCCCAAUAACCCCCGGGAGGGUUCCGGUAACCCCCCCGGUACUCCGGUAAAAUGCCGAUUUCACCCGGAACACUUCCGAUGUCCAAACAUAGGCUUCCAAUAUAUCAAUCUUCAUGUCUCGACCAUUUCGAGACUCCUCAUCAUGUCCGUGAUCACAUCCGGGACUCCGAACAAACUUCGGUACAUCAAAACUUAUAAACUCAUAAUAAAACUGUCAUCGUAACAUUAAGCGUGCAGACCCUACGGGUUCGGGAACUAUGUAGACAUGUCCUAGAACUAUUCUCGUUCAAUAACCAACAGCGGAACCUGGAUGCUCAUAUUGGCUCCUACAUAUUCUACGAAGAUCUUUAUCGGACAAACUGCAUAACAACAUACGUUGUUCCCUUUGUCAUCGGUAUGUUACUUGCCCGAGAUUCGAUCGUCGGUAUCUCAAUACCUAGUUCAAUCUCGUUACCGGCAAGUCUCUUUACUCGUUACGUAAUGCAUCAUCCCGCAACUAAAUCAUUAGUCACAUUGCUUGCAAAGCUUAUAGUGAUGUGCAUUAUCGAGAGGGCCCAGAGAUACCUCUCCGACAAUCGGAGUGACAAAACCUAAUCUAGAAAUACGCCAACCCAACAUGUACCUUUGGAGACACCUGUAGUACUCCUUUAUAAUCACCCAGUUACGUUGUGACGUUUGGUAGCACCCAAAGUGUUCCUCCGGUAAACGGGAGUUGCAUAAUCUCAUAGUUACAGGAACAUGUAUAAGUCAUGAAUAAAGCAAUGGCAACAUACUAAACGAUCAAGUGCUAGGCUAACGGAAUGGGUCAUGUCAAUCACAUUAUUCUCCUAAUGAUGUGAUCCCAUUAAUCAAAUGACAACACAUGUCUAUGGUUAGGAAACAUAACCAUCUUUGAUUAAUGAGCUAGUCAAGUAGAGGCAUACUAGUGACUAUAUGUUUGUCUAUGUAUUCACACAUGUAUCAUGUUUCCGGUUAAUACAAUUCUAGCAUGAAUAAUAAACAUUUAUCAUGAUAUGAGGAAAUAAAUAAUAACUUUAUUAUUGCCUCUAGGGCAUAUUUCCUUCAUAUAUAUAUCAUGUUCUUUCCAACAUGCUAAGCUUGCCAAAGGAUAAAAUGAAAAAGGAAAGGUGAAGAUCACCGUGACUCUUGCAUAAGAUAGAAGAUAAUAAUAAAAGAUAGGCCCUUCGCAGAGGGAAGCAGAGGUUGCCAUGCGCUUUUAUGGUUGGAUGCACAAAAUCUUAAUGCAAAAGAACGUCACUUUAUAUUGCCCCUUGUAUGUGAACCUUUAUUAUGCAGUCCGUCGCUUUUAUUGCGUCCACAACAAGUUCGUACAAAGCUUAUUUCUCUGCACUAAUAAGUCAUGCAUAUUUAAAAAGCAAUUUUUAUUGCUUGCACCGAUGACAACUUACUUGAAGGAUCUUACUCAAUCCAUAGGUAGAUAUGGUGGACUCUCAUGGCUAAACUAGUUUAAGGGUAUUUGGAAGCACAAGUAGUAUCUCUACUUGGUGCUGAGAAUUUGGCUAGCAUGAGGGAGAAAGGCAAGCUCAACAUGUUAGAGGAACCAUGACAACAUACUUUAUCUCAGAUGUAAGAAAACAUAACUCAUUACGUUGUCUUCCUUGUCCAACAUCAACUCUUUAGCAUGUCAUAUCCUAAUGAGUGUUCCCAAUCAUAAAAGAUGUCAAUGUUAAUAUAUCUAUAUGUGAAACCUCUCUCUUCUUAUUACUUCCUAUUUAUUGCUACGAUGACCAAAGCUAUAUUUGCCAACUCCAAACAACUUUUUAAUCUUCAUACUCUUUCUAUGUAAAGUUAUUGCUCUCAAUAAGAUCAAUAUAAACUCUUUGUUUCUUUUUAUUCUUUUCUUUUAUUUACCCAAGAUCAUGGCAAAAUAAGCAAGCCCUUGACUCAACACUAAUCUUUAUUAUAUAUAGCUCAUGGACUCGAUUGCAUAGAGGGAUCAUAAAGCAAAACUUCAAAACUAGAUCAUGCAAUGAAUUUUAUUCUACUAAAUCAAUAUACUACUAAUAGGAUCAAACUAAGAAAAACAAUAAAGAUAGGAGUUGUGAUGUGAUACGAUACCGGGGCACCUCCCCUAAGCUUGGCAGUUGCCAAGGGGAGUGCCCCUACCCAUGUGAUUAUAUCUCCUUCUUUGUUGUUGGUGGUGGAGGUGUUGUUGAUGAUGGAAGCUUGUCGUCCACCCUCCAUGGCAUAGGCUCACCCUCAUAGAAGGAUGAUCGAGUCUCCGGAAUCCUCAAAUUUGCAACGGAAACAGCUCGAAACUAAAAUAGAGGAUAUUUGCGUGAUACGGUCGUCAAAACCUUCGGGAGAAUAUAUAAUGAAUUUUUACCGACCAAAAUAUGUAUCGUGCAAGAAAACAGAGUCCGAAGGGCACACGGGGUGCUCACGAGGUAGGGGGCGCGCCCAGGGGGGUAGGGCGCGCCCUCCACCCUCGUGGAGGCCUCGUGUCCUCCCCGGACUGCUACUUAUUUUUCUAUUUUUCUAAAUAUUCCAAAACGGAGAAAUAUUGCUUUAAAAAUUGUUUUGGGGUCGGUUUACUUACCGUACCACAUACCUAUUCCUUUUCGGAGUCUGGAAUGUUCUGGAAAGUGUCCCUUAUGUAUUCCUCCGGGGUUACGGUUUCAAUAAUAUUGGUUUCAACAUUUAUGGGAUUACCUGAGAUAUAAUGUUUGAUUCUUUGACCGUUUACCACCUUCGAAUUCGUGCCUGCGAAGUUGUUGAUUUUUAUGGCACCAGAAUGAUAGACCUCCUCGAUAACGUAAGGACCUUCCCAUUUGGAGAGAAGUUUUCCUGCAAAAAAUCUUAAACGAGAGUUGUAUAGCAAUACAUAGUCACCUACAUUAAACUCACGCUUUUGUAUCCUUUUAUCAUGCCACCUUUUAACUUUUUCUUUAAACAGCUUGGCAUUUUCAUAAGCUUGGGUUCUCCAUUCAUCAAGUGAGCUAAUAUCAAACAGCCUCUUCUCACCGGCAAGUUUGAAGUCAUAAUUGAGCUCUUUGAUAGCCCAAUACGCCUUAUGUUCUAGUUCAAGAGGUAAAUGACAUGCUUUUCCAUAAACCAUUUUAUACGGAGACAUACCCAUAGGAUUUUUGUACGCAGUUCUAUAGGCCCAUAAUGCAUCAUUCAGUUUUUUGGACCAAUUCUUUCUAGACCUAUUGACAGUCUUUUGCAAAAUUAAUUUGAGCUCUCUAUUGCUCAACUCUACCUGACCACUAGACUGCGGGUGAUAAGGAGAUGCAAUUCUGUGAUUAACAUCGUAUUUAGCAAGCAUCUUACGGAAAGCACCAUGAAUAAAGUGUGAACCACCAUCAGUCAUUAAGUAUCUAGGGACUCCAAACCUCGGAAAAAUAACUUCCUUAAGCAUUUUAAUAGAAGUGUUAUGAUCAGCACUACUAGUUGGAAUAGCUUUUACCCACUUAGUAACGUAAUCAACAGCAACUAAAAUAUGAGUGUAACCAUUAGAGGCAGGAAAAGGUCCCAUAUAAUCAAAGCCCCAAACAUCAAAUGGCUCAAUAACAAGUGAAUAAUUCAUAGGCAUUUCUUGACGUCUACUGAUAUUACCAAUUCUUUGACAUUCAUCACAAGAUAAAACAAACUUACGGGCAUCCUUGAAGAGAGUAGGCCAAUAAAAACCGGAUUGCAAUACCUUAUGUGCAGUUCUAUCUCCAGCGUGAUGUCCUCCAUAAGUUUCGGAGUGACACUUGCGUAGGAUCUGUUCCUGCUCAUGCUCAGGUACACAACGUCUAAUAACACCAUCUACUCCUUUAUAAAGAUGUGGGUCAUCCCAAAAGUAAUGUCGCAAGUCAUAGAAAAACCUUUUCUUUUGUUGGUAUGUGAAGCUAGGUGGUAUAAAUUUAGCAACAAUAUAAUUAGCAUAGUCAGCAUACCACAGAGUGCUACAAGAAGUACUUAUGACAUUUAAUUGCUCAUCAGGAAAGCUAUCAUCAAUAGGUAGUGGGUCAUCAAGAACAUUCUCUAGCCUAGACAAGUUGUCUACAACGGGGUUCUCAACUCAUUUUCUAUCAACAAUAUGUAAAUCAAAUUCUUGGAGCAAGAGAACCCAUCUAAUGAGUCUAGGUUUAGCAUCUUUCUUUUCCAUAAGAUAUUUAAUAGCAGCAUGAUCGGUGUGAAUAGUUACUCUAGAAUCAACAAUAUAGGGUCUGAAUUUAUCACAAGUAAAUACAACCGCUAAAAGUUCCUUUUCGGUAGUAGCAUAAUUUCUUUGAGCAUUGUCUAGAGUCUUACUAGCAUAAUGGAUAACAUUUAAUUUCUUAUCAACUCUUUGCCCUAGAACAGCACCUACAGCAUAAUCACUAGCAUCACACAUAAUUUCAAAAGGUAAAUUCCAAUCAGGUGGCUGAACAAUAGGUGCAGAGACUAAUGCUUUCUUAAGUAUUUCAAAUGCUUCUACACAAUCAUCAUCAAAGAUAAAUGAUACAUCUUUUUGUAAUAAAUUAGUCAGAGGCCGAGAAAUUUUCGAGAAGUCCUUAAUGAACCUCCUAUAAAAUCCGGCGUGACCAAGGAAACUUCUUAUACCUUUGAUGUCCUUGGGACAUGGCAUCUUUUCAAUAGCGUGAACCUUGGCUUUAUCAACUUCAAUACCUCUUUCAGAAACUUUGUGCCCCAAGACAAUACCUUCAUUAACCAUAAAGUGGCACUUUUCCCAAUUCAAGACAAGAUUAUUUUCUUCACAUCUCUGCAAAACUCGAUCAAGAUUGCUCAAGCAAUCAUCAAAAGAGGAACCAUAGACGGAAAAGUCAUCCAUGAAAACCUCAUAAAUCUUUUCACAAAAAUUAGAGAAUAUAGCCAUCAUGCAUCUUUGAAAGGUAGCAGGUGCAUUACAUAAACCAAAAGGCAUACGUCUAUAAGCAAAAGUACCAAAAGGGCAUGCAAAAGUAGUCUUUGAUUGAUCUUUAGCCGACAGAGGUAUUUGAGAGAAACCAGAAUAACCAUCUAGGAAGCAAUAAUGUGUAUGUUUGCAUAACCUUUCUAGCAUUUGAUCAAUAAAAGGUAAGGGGUAAUGAUCUUUCUUAGUAGCUUUAUUUAACUUGCGGAAAUCAAUUACCAUCCUAUAACCUGUGAUAAUUCUUUGCGGGAUCAAUUCAUCUUUAUCAUUAGGGACAAUAGUAAUACCUCCCUUCUUAGGAACACAAUGGACAGGACUUACCCACUAACUAUCAGCAACAGGAUAAAUUAUACCUGCCUCCAGAAGCUUGAGUAUUUCUUUUCUUACCACUUCUUUCAUUUUAGGAUUCAAACGUCGUUGAGGAUCACGAACUGGUUUGGCAUCCACUUCCAAAUUUAUUUUAUGUUGACAUAGAGUGGGACUGAAGCCCUUAAGAUCAUCCAGAGUAUAUCCAAUAGCGGCACGGUGCUUUUUCAGAGUUUUCAAUAAUCUUUCUUCUUCAUGCUCUGAAAGGUUAGCACUAAUAAUAACAGGAUAUAUUUUCUUUUCAUCAAGAUAAGCAUACUUAAGAUUAUCAGGCAACGGUUUAAGCUCAAACACAGGAUCACCCUUGGGUGGAGGAGGAUCCCCUAGGAUUUCAACAGGCAAAUUGUGUUUCAGAAUAGGUUUCUGUUCAAAGAAUACUUCAUCUAUUUCCCUUCUUUCAUUCAUGAACAUCUCAUUUUCAUGGUCUAGCAAAUAGUGUUCUAAAGGAUCACUAGGAGGUACGGCAAUAGAAGCAAGACCAAUAAUUUCAUCCUUACUAGGCAAUUCUUCCUCACGAUGUUGUUUACUAAACUUAGAGAAAUUAAACUCAUGAACCAUAUCAUCCAAGCCAACAGUAACAACAUUCUUUUUACAGUCUAUCAUAGCAUUAACAGUAUUCAAGAAUGGUCUACCAAAUAUAAUGGGACAAAAUCUAUCUUGCGGGGAACCAAGAACAAGAAAAUCAGCGGGAUAUUUGGUUUUCCCACACAAGACUUCAACAUCUCUAACAAUUCCCACUGGUGAAAUAGUAUCUCUAUUGGCAAGUUUAAUUGUGACAUCAAUACCUUCUAAUUCAGCAGGUGCAAUUUCAUUCUUAAUUUCUUCGUAUAAAGUAUGUGGUAUAACACUAGCACUCACACCCAUAUCACAUAAGCCAUGAUAACAAUGAUCUCCUAUUUUAACAGAAAUAACAGGCACGCCUACCACGGGUCUAUGUUUAUCUCUAUCACAGGGUUUAGCAAUUCUAGCAGUUUCACCAGAGAAUUCAAUGACAUGCCCAUCAAUAUUAUCGGACAAGAGAUCUUUAACAAUAGCAAUAUUAGGUUCUACUUUGACUUGCUCAGGAGGUGUAAAAGUUCUAGUAUUGCUUUUACGAACAACAGUUGAAGCUUUAGCAUGAUCCUUUACUCUAGCAGGGAAAGGUGGUUUCUCAACAUAAGAGGUAGGAACAAUAGGAUAAUUAUAAGUGAUGGUUUCUUCUUCAACUUUAAUAGGUGCGGCUGCUUUUACUUCUAUGGGAGGAUGAUAUUUAAACCACUUCUCCUUGGGGAGAUCAACAUAAUUAGCAAAAGAUUCACAGAAAGAAGCUACUAUCUCAGAGUCAAGUCCAUAUUUAGUGCUAAACUUACGGAAAAUAUCGGUAUCCAUAAAAGAUAUAACACAAUCAAACUUAGGUGUCAUACCUGACUCCUUACCUUCGUCGAGGUCCCAAUCUUCAGAGUUGCGUUUAAUUCUAUCCAAUAAAUUCCAUAUGAAUUCAAUAGGCUUCAUCAUAAAAGAGCCAGCACAAGAAGUAUCGAGCAUGGUUUUAUUAUUAUCAGAGAGCCGAGCAUAAAAAUUCUGAAGAAUUGUCAAUUUUGAGAGCUCAUGAUUGGGCAUGAAUAUAACAUGGAUUUAAGCCUCCCCCAAGCUUGAGCGAUGCUUUCUCCUUCGCGAGGCCAAAAAUUGUAUAUAUAAUUGCGAUCACGAUGAACAAGAUGCAUAGGGUAAUAUUUUUGAUGAAAUUCCAAUUUCAUUCUUUUAUAGUUCCAUGAUCUCGUAUCAUCACAUAGCCUAUACCAUGUCGAUGCAUCUCCCUUCAAAGAUAAAGGGAAAGCCUUCUUCUUAACAACAUCAUCGGGUAUACCUGCAAGCUUAAAUAAUCCACAAAUAUCAUCCAAAUAGCGUAGACGCUCGUCGGGAUGCUUCGUCCCAUCUCCUAUAAAAGUAUUAGCCAACAGUUUUUCCAUAAUACCCGAAUGAAAUUCAAAAGGAGUUUCAUUUUCAAUAGGUUCAGUAGGUUAAGGAGCAACUCUUUGCUCUACUGGACGGGGUGAAGAUACCCCGAACAAGUCCCUCAGAGAUUCAGUUUCCAUAGUAACAAGUGACAGAAAAUUUCAGCACACUAUAUAAAUUUUUCCUUACCAAAUUCCACUUACCAAAGGCGCUACACUCCCCGGCAACGGCGCCACAAAAGAGUCUUGAUGACCCACAAGUAUAGGGAAUCUAUCGUAGUCCUUUCGAUAAGUAAGAGUGUCGAACCCAACGAGGAGCAGAAGGAAAUGAUAAGCGGUUUUCAGCAAGGUAUUCUCUGCAAGUACUGAAAUAAGUGGUAACAGAUAGUUUUGUGAUAAGGUAAAUUGUAACGAGCAACAAGUAACAAAAGUAAAUAAGGUGCAUCAAGGUGGCCCAAUCCUUUUUGUAGCAAAGGACAAGCCGGAACAAACUCUUAUAAUAGGAAAAGCUCUCCCGAGGACACAUGGGAAUAUUGUCAAGCUAGUUUUCAUCACGCUCAUAUGAUUUGCGUUCGGUACCUUGAUAAUUUGAUAUGUGGGUGGACCGGUGCUUGGGUACUGCCCUUACUUGGACAAGCAUCCCACUUAUGAUUAACCUCUAUUGCAAGCAUCCGCAACUACAACAAAAGUAUUAAGGUAAACCUAACCAUAGCAUGAAACAUAUGGAUCCAAAUCAGCCCCUUACGAAGCAACGCAUAAACUAGGGUUUACGCUUCUGUCACUCUAGCAACCCAUCAUCUACUUAUUACUUCCCAAUGCCUUCCUCUAGGCCCAAAUAAUGGUGAAGUGUUAUGUAGUCGACGUUCACAUAACACCACUAGAGGUUAGACAACAUACAUCUUAUCAAAAUAUCGAAAGAAUACCAAAUUCACAUGACUACUAAUAGCAAGACUUCUCCCUUGUCCUCAGGAACAAACGUAACUACUCACAAAGCAUAUUCAUGUUCAUAACCAGAGGGGAUAUAAUGUGCAUAAAGGAUAUGAACAUAUGAUCUUCCACCAAAUAAACCAAGUAGCAUCAACUACAAGGAGUAAUCAACACUACUAGCAACCUACAAGCACCAAUCCCGGACUUGGAGACAAGAAUUGGAUACAAGAGAUGAACUAGGGUUUGGAGAUGAGAUGGUGCUGGUGAAGAUGUUGAUGGAGAUUGCCCUCUCCCGAUGAGAGGAGCGUUGGUGAUGACGAUGGUGAUGAUUUCCCCCUCUCGGAGGGAAGGGUCCCCGGCAGAGCAGCUCUGCCAGAGCCCUAGAUUGGUUCCGCCAAGGUUCCGCCUCGUAGUGGCGGAGUCUCGUCCUGAAAGGUUGCUUAUGAUUUUUUUCUCAUCGAAAGACUUCAUAUAGGAGAAGAUGGGCGUCGGAGAGCCACCAGGGGCCCACGAGGUAGGGGGCGCGCCCAGGGGGGAGGGGCACGCCCCCCACCCUCGUGAGCAGGGUGUGGGCCCCCUGGCCUUCAUCUUUGGCGACGAUUUUUCUUUAUUUCUUUUAAGAUAUUCCGUGGAGUUUCAGGACUUUUGGAGUUGCGCAGAAUAGGUCUCCAAUAUUUGCUCCUUUUCCAUCCAGAAUUCCAGCUGCCGCCAUUCCCCCUCUUCAUGGUAAACCUUGUAAAAUAAGAGAGAAUAGCCAUAAGUAAUGUGACAUAACGUGAAAUAACAGCCCAUAAUGCGAUAAAUAUCGAUAUAAAAGCAUGAUGCAAAAUGGACGUAUCGCUGAGGCAUAGGGAAUGACUUUCAUUCUCUUUUCUAUUUUCUGCCGUGGUCGGGAUUUGAGUCUUACUCAAUUUCACACCUUUGCAACACAGGCAAGAACUCUUUCUUUGACAUUUUGAACUAUUUCAAAAUCUUGACAAGGUAUGUACUUAUUGAAAAAACUUAUCAAGCGUCUUGAUCUAUCUCAAUAGAUCUUGAUGCUCAAUAUGUAAGUAGCUUUACUGAGGUCUGUCUUUUAAAGAACUCCUUUCGAAUACUCCUUUAUGCUUUCCAGAAAAAUUCUACAUCAUUUCUGAUCAACAAUAUGUUACUCACAUAUAUUUAUCAGAAAGGCGGUUGUGCUCCCACUCACUUUAUUGUAAAUACAGGCUUCUCCAAAAGUCUGUAAAAACCAUAUGCUUUUGAUCAACUCGUCAAAGCGUAUAUUCCAACUCCGAGAUGCUUGCACCAGUCCAUAGAUGGAUCGCUGGAGCUUGCACAUUUUGUUAGCACCUUUAGGAUUGACAAAACCUUCUGGUUGUAUCAUAUACAACUCUUCUUUAAUAAAUCCAUUAAGGAAUGCAGUUUUGACAUCCAUUGCCAGAUUUCAUAAAAUGUGGCAAUUGCUAACAUGAUUCGGACAGACUUUAAGCAUCGAUAUGAGUGAGAAAAUCUUGUCGUAUUCAACACCUUGAACUUGUCAAAAAACCUUUUGCGACAAGUCGAGCUUUGUAGAUAGUAACACUACUAUCAGCGUCUGUCUUCCUCUUGAAGAUCCAUUUAUACAAUAUGGCUUGCCGAUCAUUGGGCAACUCCACCAAAGUCCACACUUUGUUCUCAUACAUGGAUCCCAUCUCAGAUUUCAUGGCCUCAAGCCAUUUCGCGGAAUCUAGGCUCAUCAUCGCUUCCUCAUAGUUCGCAGGUUCGCCAUGGUCAAGUAACAUGACUUCCAGAAUAGGAUUACCGUACAACUCUGGUGCGGAUCUUACUCUGGUUGACCUACGAGGUUCGGUAGUAACUUGAUCUGAAGUUUCAUGAUCAAUAUCAUUAGCUUCCUCACUAAUUGAUGUAGUUGUCACAGGAACCGGUUUCUGCGAUGAACUACUUUCCAAUAAGGGAGCAGGUACAGUUAAUCAAGUUCUACUUUCCUCCCACUCAUUUCUUUCGAGAGAAACCCUUCUCUAGAAAGGAUCCGAAUUUAGCAACAAAAAUCUUGCCCUCAAAUCUGUGAUAGAAGGUGUACCCAAUAGUCUCUUUUGGGUAUCCUAUGAAGACACAUUUCUUCGAUUUGGGUUCGAGCUUAUCUGGUUGAAGUUUCUUCACAUAAGAAUCGCAGCCCCAAACUUUCAGAAACGACAACUUUGGUUUCUUGCCAAACCAUAGUUCAUAAGGCGUCAUCUCAAUGGAUUUUGAUGGUGCCCUAUUUAACGUGAAUGCGGCCGUCUCUAAAGCAUAACCCCAAAAUGAUAGCGGUAAAUCAGUAAGAGACAUCAUAGAUCGCACCAUAUCUAGUAAAGUACGAUUACGACGUUCGAACACACCAUUUCGUUGUGGUGUUCCGGGUGGCGUGAGUUGCGAAACUAUUCCGCAUUGCUUCAAAUGUAAACCAAACUCGUAACUCAAAUAUUCUCCUCCACGAUCAGAUCGUAGAAACUUUAUUUUCUUGUUACGAUGAUUUUCCACUUCACUCUGAAAUUCUUUGAACUUUUCAAAUGUUUCAGACUUGUGUUUCAUCAAGUAGAUAUACCCAUAUCUGCUCAAAUCAUCUGUGAAUGUGAGAAAAUAAUGAUACCCGCCGCGAGCCUCAAUAUUCAUAGGACCACAUACAUCAGUAUGUAUGAUUUCCAACAAAUCAGUUACUCGCUCCAUAAUUUCGGAGAACGGUGUUUUAGUCAUCUUGCCCAUGAGGCAUGGUUCACAAGUACCAAGUGAUUCAUAAUCGAGUGAUUUCAGAAGUCCAUCAGUAUGGAGUUUCUUCAUGCGCUUUACACCAAUAUGACCCAAACGGUAGUGCCACAAAUAAGUUGCACUAUCAUUAUUAACUUUUGCAUCAUUUAGCAUCAAUAUUAUGAAUAUGUGUAUCACUACGAUCGAGAUCCAACAAACUAUUUCCAUUGGGUGUAUGACCAUUCAUGGUUUUAUUCAUGUAAACAGAACAACAAUUAUUCUCUGACUUUAAAUGAAUAACCGUAUUGCAAUAAACAUGAUCAAAUCAUAUUCACGCUCAACGCAAAUGUCAAAUAACAUUUAUUUAGGUUUAACACUAAUCCCGAAAGUAUAAGGAGUGUGUGAUGAUGAUCAUAUCAAUCUUGGAACUACUUCCAACACUUGUCGUCACUUCCCCUUCAACCAGUCUCUGUUUAUUCUGUAACUUCCUGUUUCGAGUUACUAAUCUUAGCAACCGAACAAGUAUCAAAUACUCAGGGGCUACUAUAAACACUAGUAAUGUACACAUCAAUAACCUGUAUAUCAAAUAUACCCUUGUUCACUUUGCCAUCCUUCUUAUCCACCAAAUAUUUGGAGUAGUUCCACUUCCAGUGACCAUUUCCUUUGCAGUAGAAGCACUCAGUUUCAGGCUUAGGUCUAGCUUUGGGCUUCUUCACGGGAGUGACAACUUGCUUGUCAUUCUACUUGAAGUUCCCUUUCUUUCCCUUUGCCCUUUUCUUGAAACUAGUGGUCUUGUCAAUCAUCAACACUUGAUGCUCUUUCUUGAUUUGUACCUUCGUCGAUUUCAACAUCAUUCUGAAAAAAAGGACCUUCGAAAUCCAAUUUUAUGUGUAGCGCAAAGGAGUUGCGAUUUCUUCUUAUUCCUAUAGAACAUCUAGUAACAAGAAUAUGAAAUCGUAAAUAGCGAAAAAUUCUUGUCUUGCGCGGAGCUCGGGAAUUGUUUUCGUCAUCCCUUGCAUACUUUAGUUCAUCACGAAGUUCUAGCGACUUGGUGAUGGUGACUAGAGAACUCUGUCAAUCACUAUCUUAUCUGGAAGAUAAACUCCCACUUGAUUCAAGUGAUUGUAGUACCCAGACAAUCUGACCACUUGCUCACUAGUUGAGCGAUUCUCCUCCAUAUUUUAGCUAUAGAACUUGUUGGAGACUUCAUAUCUCUCAACUCAGGUAUUUGCUUGAAAUAUUAACUUCAACUCCUGGAACAUCUCAUAUGGCCCAUGACGUUCAAAACGUCUUUUGAUGUCCCGAUUCUAAGCCGUUAAACAUGGUGCACUAAACUAUUAAGUAGUCAUCAUAUUGAGCUAGCCAAACAUUCAUAAUGUCUGCAUCUGCUCCUGCAAUAGGUCCGUCACCUAGCGGUGCAUCAAGGACAUAAUUCUUCUGUGCAGCAAUUAGGACAAUCCUCAGAUCACGGAUCCAAUCCGCAUCAUUGCUACUAACAUCUUUCAACAUAGUUUUCUCUAGGAACAUAUCAAAAUAAACAUACGAAAGCAACAACGUGAGCUAUUGAUCUACAACAUAAUUUGCAAAAUACUAUCAGGACUAAGUUCAUGAUAAAUUUAAGUUCAAUUAAUCAUAUUACUAAAGAACUCCCACUUAGAAAGACAUCUCUCUAGUCAUCUAAGUGAUCACGUGAUCCAAAUCAACUAAACCAUGUCCGAUCAUCAUGUGAGAUGGAGUAGUUUUCAAUGGUGAACAUCACUAUGUUGAUCAUAUCUACUAUAUGAUUCACGUUCGACCUUUCGGUCUCCGUGUUCCGAGGCCAUAUCUAUAUAUGCUAGGCUCGUCAAUUUUAACCUGAGUAUUCCGUGUGUGCAACUGUUUUUCACCCGUUGUAUUUGAACAUAGAGCCUAUCACACCCGAUCAUCACGUGGUGUCUCAGCACGAAGAACUUUCGCAACGGUGCAUACUCAGGGAGAACACUUCUUGAUAAUUUAGUGAGAGAUCAUCUUAAAAUGCUACUGUCAAUCAAAGCAAGAUAAGAUGCAUAAAGGAUAAACAUCACAUGCAAUCAAUAUAAGUGAUAUGAUAUGGCCAUCAUCAUCUUGUGCUUGUGAUCUCCAUCUCCGAAGCACCGUCGUGAUCACCAUUGUCACCGGCGCGACACCUUGAUCUCCAUCGUAGCAUCGUUAUCGUUACGCCAUCUAUUGCUUCUACGACUAUCGCUACCACUUAGUGAUAAAGUAAAGCAAUUACAGGGCGUUUGCAUUUCAUACAAUAAAGCGACAACCAUAUGGCUCCUGCCAGUUGCCGAUAACUUCGGUUACAAAACAUGAUCAUCUCAUACAAUAAAAUAUAGCAUCAAGUCUUGACCAUAUCACAUCACAACAUGCCCCGCAAAAACAAGUUAGACGUCCUCUACUUUGUUGUUGCAAAUUUUACGUGGCUGCUACGGGCUGAGCAAGAACCGUUCUUACCUACGCAUCAAAAACCACAACGAUAGUUCAUCAAGUUAGUGCUAUUUUAACCUUCGCAAGGACCGGGCGUAGCCACACUCGGUUCAACUAAAGUUGGAGAAACAGACACCCGCCAGCCACCUGUGUGCAAAGCACGUCGGUAGAACCAGUCUUGCGUAAGCGUACGCGUAAUGUCAGUCCGGGCCGCUUCAUCCAACAAUAUCGCCGAACCAAAGUAUGACAUGCUGGUAAGCAGUAUGACUUGUAUCGCCCACAACUCACUUGUGUUCUACUCGUGCAUAUAACAUCUACGCAUAAAACCAGGCUCGGAUGCCACUGUUGGGGAACGUAAUAAUUUCAAAAUUUUCCUACGCACACGCAAGAUCAUGGUGAUGCAUAGCAACAAGAGGGGAGAGUGUUGUCCACGUACCCUCAUAGACCGAAAGCGGAAGCGUUAGAACAACGCGGUUGAUGUAGUCGUACGUCUUCACGGCCCGACCGAUCAAGCACCGAAACUACGGCACCUUCGAGUUCUAGCACACGUUCAGCUUGAUGACGAUCCCCGUACUCCGAUCCAGCAGAAUGUUGGGGAAGAGUUCCAUCAGCACGACGGCGUGGUGAUGAUCUUGAUGUUCUACCAUCGCAGGGCUUCGCCUAAGCAUCGCUACAAUAUUAUCGAGGAGGACUAUGGUGGAGGGGGGCACCGCACACGGCUAAGAGAUCAAGAGAUCAAUUAUUGUGUCUAUGGGGUGCCCCCCCACCCGUAUAUAAAGGAGUGGAGGAGGGGGCCGGCCAAGGGGGGUGGCGCGCCCUGGGGGGAGUCCAACCCCCACCGGGAGUAGGACUCCCCCCUUUCCUAUUAGGAGAGGGAGAGGGAAGGAAGAGGAGGGAGGGAGGAAGGAAAGGGGGGCCGGGCCCCCUCCCAAUUCGGAUUGGGCUUGGGGGGGCGGGCCCCCUCCUUUGCUCCUCUCCCCUCCUUUCCACUAAGGCCCAAUAAGGCCCAUAUACCUCCCGGGGGGUUCCGAUAACCUCCCGGAGCUCCGGUAUUGUCCCAAUCUCACCUGGAACCUUUACGGUGUCCAAAUAUAGUCGUCCAAUAUAUCGAUCUUUAUGUCUCGACCAAUUCGAGACUCCUCGUCGUGUCCGUGAUCACAUCCGGGACUCCGAACAACCUUCGGUACAUCAAAACUCAUAAACUCAUCAUAAUAAAAACUGUCAACGAAACCUUAAGCGUGCGGACCCUACGGGUUCGAGAACUAUGUAGACAUGACCGAGACACGAUUCCGGUCAAUAACCAAUAGCGGAACCUGGAUGCUCAUAUUGGCUCCUACAUAUUCUACGAAGAUCUUUAUCGGUCAAACCGCAUAACAACAUAUGUUGUUCCCUUUGUCAUCGGUAUGAUACUUGCCCGAGAUUUGAUCGUCGGUAUCCCAAUACCUAGUUCAAUCUCGUUACCGGCAAGUCUCUUUACUCAUUACGUAAUGCAUCAUUCUGUAACUAAUUCAUUGGCUACAUUGCUUGCAAGGCUUAUAGUGAUGUGUAUUACCAAGAGGGCCCAGAGAUACCUCUCCGACAAUCGGAGUGACAAAUCCUAAUCUCAAAAUAUGCCAACUCAACAUGUACCUUCGGAGACACCUGUAGAGCCCCUUUAUAAUCACCCAGUUACGUUGUGACGUUUGGUAGCACACAAAGUGUUCCUCCGGUAAACGGGAGUUGCAUAAUCUCAUAGUCAUAGGAACAUGUAUAAGUCAUGAAGAAAGCAAUAGCAACAUACUAAACGAUCAAGUGCUAAGCUAACGGAAUGGGUCAAGUCAAUCACAUCAUUCUUCUAAUGAUGUGAUCCCGUUAAUAAAAUGACAACUCAUGUCUAUGGCUAGGAAAACAACCAUCUUUGAUCAACAAGCUAGGUAAGUAGAGGCAUACUAGUGACACUAUGUUUGUCUAUGUAUUCACACAUGUAUUAUGUUUCCGGUUAAUACAAUUCUAGCAUGAAUAAUAAACAUUUAUCAUGAAAUAAGGAAAUAAAUAAUAACUUUAUUAUUGCCUCUAGGGCAUAUUUCCUUCAGUCCACAGAGGAGGAGGCCUUGCCGACCCAUGGGCCUGAGACCGCAGAAUGUGGAAGAGGAGCCGCUCUUGUUAGGGCUCUGGACAUCCUUCCACGAUCUGGGGCCACAGCGGGCACUGUUCCCAUCGAGAAACCGAGGUGUUUGGAUAGGAUGUCGCGUUGGGCGCCAGCUGUGUCGGCCUCCUCGCCGCAUCGGCACCCAAUGANNNNNNNNNNNNNNNNNNNNNNNNNNNNNNNNNNNNNNNNNNNNNNNCAGGUCUAGGUGCACGUCCUUCUUGUCCGGGAGCUCGAAACCCCUCACAAGUGCCGCUGACAAGGGUCCUCGCCGACCUGGAGCUCACAGCUUGGACCAGUCCAAGACCACCAAGGAGGUCGACGUCCGACACCGACGUCAGAUCAGCUAGGACAUCCUCUAGAUCGGGAUCUACUAGUCGAAGCGUAAGCUCCGCGUCAAGGAGGAGAUGCGGUAGCGGCACAGCAAGCACGACACCAACACCAAGCCCAGGGACGAAUGUCGUGUCCGUUGUUCGGCUUCGGUAACCACCGCGAUGACAGAGACAGUGGUCCCAUCAACCCCGAAGACCAUUCCUACAAAGUCACCUAGACGAGUUCCACUUUAUGCUGAUCCUACGUCCCUCGGAGAACUUAUAUGCCUGCUUGAGUUUUCCAACGUAAAAACAAAGAUUAGGUGAUGAUUAAGGAAAACUUGUAUGUGUGUUCAAACAAGAGAGGAAAACAUAUUUUAGCUGGUAAGUCGGAGAUUAGCCCCCUUGUGUGGCAAGAGGAUCCUUCUAAUUUUCUUGUGGCUGUGUUAUCAAAGUGUUUUGCCAAAAUAAAACCACCAUGAAGGUUUUCCCUCAACAAAAAAAAAGAGAAAAACAUGCACGUACGCACAUUAGACUAGCAAAAGGGCCCGUGUGUUGCAAUGAGAAAAAAACUCAUAAUCUCCAACGGCCAUGACCACAUUUUCUUGCAUCACCGAGAUACACUAUCACUCUCAAUUUGUGAAAUCAUGAAUAAUUUUUUAAAUCAUAAACAUUUUUUUAAACUCGUUAACACUUUUCAAAUUCGUGAACACUUUUACAAUUUUUUGAAUAUUUUCAAAAAUUUAGAAGAAAAAAUGAAUUCAUGAAUAUUAUAUAUUAUUUUCAAAUAUUUUUUUAAAAUCGUGAACAUUGUUUUAAAUAAUAUUCUUGAAUCGGCAAUUUCUAGAAUUGAUGAACCUAUUUUUGGAAAUUAGUGGAACAAUUUUUGAAAUUCACGAACAUUUUAUUUGAUUUAACGAACAUUUUUUGAAAUGCAUGAUCAUUUUUUGAAUCAGCGAACACUUUAUGAAUAAAUAAACUAUUUUCGAAGACACAAACGGUUUUUGAAAUUUUAGGAUGUGUUUCCAUUCCAUGAACUUUUUUAAAUGUGUGAAAUUUUUUAUCACUUAUAGGUGGUACCGGUGGGUAAUAUUUGCAAUUUUGGGUGCAAUUUAGGUGAUGUACCAACAGAAGCUAUAACCCAUUUAUUAUUAGAUACAGACUAGUAAAAGGGCCCAUGCAUUACAAUGGGAGAAAAAUAAUAUCGUAAUAUCCAAUGGCCAUGACAGCAUUUUGAUGCAUCACCGAUAACACUUUGGCAAACAUUUUGUUCAAUUUCUUAAUAACUUUAAAUAAAUGAACUUUUUGAAAAAAUCAUUGAUUUGUUUUAUUUCCCAAACAUUUGUUUUCAAAAUGGCAAAUUUUUUUAAUAUGCGGAUAUUUUUAAAAAAUUAUGAACAUUUUUUGAAUCCACAACUAUUUUAUGAUUUAUAGAAUGUUUUAUUUAAAAUUUCCAAGUUUUUAAUUUUCAGAUAUUUUUUGAAGUACCAAAUUAUUUAAAGUAACAAAAACGGAAAAUAAAAAAAGAAUUUUAAAAAAGGGCCCCCGGGACAUGGGCAUUCCCAAACGGACGCGUUGUGUCUUCUCCCAGCACGCAGAGGGAAGUAUAGGAGGCCCCUACUGCAUGGACUGCCUAGGCAGAGGAUUCCCCUAUGUGAAACAUUUUUUAUACUUAUAGAUGGCAUUAGUGGAUAAAAUUUUGCAACUUUGGGGGCAAUGUUGGUGACAUAUCGUAAGAAGCAAUAGCCCCUUUAUUAUUAGUUAUAUAGAUUGGAGACCGGGUAGAGACAACCUCAUAAAAACGAAAACAUGUGUAAAAAAAGAUUUAGUCUACAUACCUAGGUCUCAUAGCCUAUUUAAUCCAAUCUUGAAAGUAGAGCCGGCGGCCAUGGCGACCUUCUCCUAGAGAUCCUCGGUCGCGUCAAGGAUGUGGCUACUCUCUUCCGCUAUGCCAUUGUCGGUCCCUGCUUCCUCUGUCGCCACUGUCCAGAGGAUGCGGGUGACUCAUCGUCCUCCUACGUCAGCUUCUUCACCCAGGGAAAUCGCCACGGGAAAGGGGACCCCGCGCCUUUUCCAUGCCCGGAGCCAUGGCCUUGUUGUUGUGUGCCUCCAAGUCGAAGCACACGGCACCCCCGGCUAUCCGUACAAAACCAUCUUUCAAUUGGCAUUAUGCAACCUACUCGGCGGCACAUGCGUCAUGCUUCCUCCUCUAAAAGGGAGCCCAAUCUUUUACGAUCAUGAUUGUAAUGGCUAUGCCAUUCUAACCAGCACGGGUUGUUGAUCUAAAGAUGAUUGUCAUCGUCAGUGCUACCGAGCAACUCAUCUUUCUUCAAAGUGGUAAUCAUUAGCUAUAACUGUGAUGGCUCGAGGUAUUGUCUCAAUGACUGCUCGUCCAACAAAGAAAAUUGGAGCAUGGGUACCAAUUGCUACAACAGUAAUGCACAGUUGAACCACUGCGCAUUGUUUAGCGAUGCCAUUGUGUGUUGUGGUGUGACACACUGGAUAUCUCAUCAUCAUGGAGAAUGGUGCCUUCAUGUCAUCAAUCGAAAUGCGCACACCGGCCAAGUCUCCUUGACGAUGCGCCCUUUCAGGGUGAACUUCAACCCCACCAGUCAUGCAUUCCUUACUUCAGGCAUCAACGGAAUGCUAUCAGUGCUCUGGAUGCAAAAGGGAGGUCCCCAACUAGAGAUGUGGGAACAAUGGGAGCACCCCAAAAACAUGAGCGGUACUUCAAAAUGGUUAUGUACCGGAAAGAUCGAGCUAAGACGACCCGGUAAGGACAAUGAAGGAAAAGAACUGUGUGUCUUGAUAAAUAAGUGUGGCACAAUGCUCAUCAGCGACAACUUGUCCCGUGUUUACACAGUCGACCUUGAAACCGAGGCGAUGGAGGAGCUGGUGGAUUCACCUCACACACACUCCAUGUGCCAUUGGUAUUCCAUUCCCUUGGACAUUGAUUGGCACACGUUCUUCAUUUCUCGGCUUACGAGGUAUAGCUAACCAUUCUCAUAUAUAUACAUUUUUUGGUCUAUUUGGCAAUUUAUGUUGGGUAAAUUACCGUGCCAGAGGGUUGAUGAACCGCGUUGUUCCGGUUCAACUCGUUCUUACAACAUUGAAUGUUUGGGUGUUAAUCAUGUUUUUUUUGUAUUUCUUAGAGUCCCCACGUGUCCCCUCUCAUCUACUAGUGGUGAGACAUGCAUCUCCACUGAGGAAGAGGCGCAAGGGCACCGUAAAGGGUAGUUACACGGUGGCAUAUAGAAGUAGUGGACGACAUGGUCUACGGAACUAAAUUCACCAAAUGAAACACGCAAAACUCAAGAGUAUAUUUCUUUUGUACGAUUUGCUAUGUUUAGACUUGCAUUUCCGAAAUCAUCAACUUUAGCUAACUUUUAAUCCGUAGUUUAUAUACGGUGUUACGUGAGUCAUUGGAUGUUGAACAAUUGCUUAAAAAGGGGACCAACAUAAAAGCAUUCCUGCCAACCUAUAAGCGGAUAUACUCCAAAUAUAUCUUUUAUGCUUUGAGUAUUUCGCUGCCAGUAUUUCCCUAGACCUCAACCACCAGAAGCAGUUGCAGAUCAUCGAUGUAGAUACUUAGGUACUCUAUUGAAAUCUAGGAAAAGUUUCAAAUAAGUGAACAUUUUUCUCAAAAUCUAUAAUUUUUUUGCAAAUCUGUGAACGCUUGGGCCGGCCCAAUAGGCACCUGAAUGGGCGAUGCUGUCGCCUAGUUGGGCCAAGGCCUAAGCAUUUUCUUUAUUUUUUAUGUUUUCUUCUAUCUUUUGGUUAAUUAUCUUUUUUCUAUUUUCAAAUUUAUUAUUCAUUUUUAAACCUGUUCAAAAAAAUUUAAAAAUUGUUUGGAAUACCAGAAAAUGUUUUAUCUAUGUUCUGCAAUUUCGUAAAAUGUUCUUGUUUUUCAAAAAAAAAAGUUAUCAAAUUUAAAAAUGUUUGCAUUUCGAUUUUUUUUAAAAGAAGUAAGUUGUUUGCAAUAUUUGUUCAAUAAUGGUAUGAAUUGUUGGGGUUUAUGAACAAUUUUGGAAAAAGUGUUCAAGUUUGUAAGAUUUUCAUACAUAAUUUGAAAUUCCAAAAUUGUUGACAAAUUUCAAGAAAUGGUCGGGACAUAAGAAAAUGUUCAUGUUGAUUGUUAAUGACGGAAACUGCAAAUAACACAGGCAUACAAAUUAGGAAAAACUACAUGCUCACGGAUGCACCGGUCUGGCAUAGUCUGGCACACUCCUCUCAACUGGUGUUUUUUGGACAAUGGAUAAAUGGCCCCAACUUCAUAAUGACAGCCUGACAUGGAUAUAUGAGGCAUCCAUGCUAGGUUUGAACGAUAUGUGACACCAUAUGCAGGUUGUGACGUCCGACCAUUAAUCUGCCUUUAUAUACGGUGUUAGUUGAAUCGUCGGAUAUGGAUGAAUGGCUUAAAAAAGGGACAAGCAUAAAAGUAUUCCUGCUAACCAAUAAGCAGAUAUACUUGCAAAAUUUCCCUUUUAUGGUUUUACUAUUUCGCUGCUAGGAUUUCCCUGGACCUCGGCCACCAUAAGCCGCUGCACAUCAUCGAUGUAGAAUUUUAGGUACCCUAUUGAAAUUGUACAGUUUCAUGGGAGCAAUUAUUUUUACACCGGAGUUUGUAAUACGGUGUGAGGUGGAGAUGUGGAUUCACUGAACGGUGGUGAUCUGAGGGACACCCUUGAGACUGGAGGACUGGUCAGGAAGAAGUGUUCGCUGGGACGGCGCUCUGUUUGCCUAUGAUGUGAAGUUUCUGAAUGUUCUACCUGAAGUUUCUGAAUUUUCGGCCGGACAUACUCUGAAGAAAAGUUUGUGAUAGAAAAAAAAACGACCACAGUGGGAGUCGAACCCACGACCUUCUGAUCCGAAGUCAGACGCGCUAAUCCACUGCGCUAUGCGGUCAUAAUUGUAAGCUGUACGUUCAAAGUCAAUAAGUGCACAGAAAUGUUUUUAGAAGUCUAAUGGUUUUAGCGAUCCCAAAUGAGAUAUCUGAAACAAGAACGUACUGCUCCGGAUCAUAAUCGUUCAAAUACACAUACACAUGUCAAAGUGCAAAUUCAGAAUGCAAAAAGGGAACGAACAGUGCAUUCUGAGGUCGAUGCACAGCUUGCAAGAGGAAGAGUCCAAAGCAUACAUUUUGCUUGAUAUGCAGCACUCGUGGGCCAGGCUAACCCACCGGUUAGCUAACACAAUUAACAAGCUUAGGCCGGCGGUUAGGUAGCAGUGUAAUUUUUAGUGGUGUCUUUUGCUCUGUCAAUUUUUAUAUAUGUACCUCGAGCUGCUGAUCGAUCGAUGGGUCCAUGGAUGGAGCUUUCCGAGUGAUGGAGCUGUGUACGUGGUACCAGUGUAGUUUAGAGCAAACUAAAGUAGCCCGGUGUGCAAGUAGUAGUAUAUUUUUGGGCAUGGACCUACUACCUGUAUUGCCUUGAUUUCCCUGAUCCAUCCAUCUUAUCGUAUCAAUUAAUCAUGACACCUCCACCCAAAUCCACCAAAAAUAUCCUAGCUAGAUAAAUCCCUGUGAAAGGGAAACAAGUUUGUUUUUCUAUAUCACAGUAAGUUUUAUAGAUAUUACGUUGACGUCGAAUUGUUUUGAAGUUGUGGCCGUAAAAUUCCAUGGGAUUCCGUAUUAGCCUGAUCGUAUUUUGUUUAUGUUAACACAUGGAAUUAGACUUUCUUCUUCUUGCUGCUCUUGAGGUACUGCAUGGCUAGUGAUGAUUUAAAUCAUCUUUGAGGGUUUAGGUGUCUUGGCUUCUGCACCAUGCAGCUGCUAGUGAUCGAUGGAGAGAAUAAUAUAUAUACAUAUAUAUAUCAAAAAAUGUGAUACAUCUUAUCUUUGCGGUUGAUCAAUCCAUUCAUCUAGAAAAAUGUCCACAGGAGCAGAAAUGCAGAAUCAAAACAUGAAUGCACCACUCUCCAAUAAAUAAACAAUGAAAAACAUGCCAACACCAGGAUAAGUUCGAAAACUCAUGAAAUUUGUUGGCAACUUGAAUAUGGCAAGUGGUUAGCAAAUAUACAUUUGAACCGUAAGUUGUUAAUCAAUUGGUGUCUUUUGGCUUUUGCUAUGUCUGUAUUAGGUAGGAAACCGUGCGGAAGCUACUCAUGGAUGGAGCUUCCUGACCGACGAGUGUUGUUGUUUUCUGUACAUUGGCAAUCGCUUUGACAGCAAGGUAGUCAUGUAGAGCCCCUCUCAGUGUGCAUAUACUACUACGUACAGUACUAUCCAAAGGAGUAGUAUAUAUAUUUUGGUUUCGGACCUACUUUAGGCUUUGAUUUUGCUGGUCGAUGGAUCGAUCUUAUCGUAUCAAUCAUGACACCUCCACCCAACCCAACCAAAAUCAAUUAAGAAGCACGAAUGAAUUCCCUGCCGAUCUCUCCGAUAGGGAAAUAAGUUGUUUUUCUCAAUAAUAUAUGCAAAGUUGACGUUGAAUUAAGCUUGGUGGCCAUGAAAUUCUACGAAUUCGUCAUUUGUUUACUGGUACCUACCUUUGUCGUCAACUUGGAAGAAGAAUUUCGUCCUUCACUGCCGCACGUCGAUGUGCAUGGCUAGCUAAUGACGUGUCUUUGCUUUUUCGAGAAAGAUGAGGUGUAUGUGAUAGUGGUGAGAAAGAACUCUGAGAAAGAGGAUACUUAUAUAAGCAUAAUCCAAAACCAAAAAUGUCAUCUUAAUCUGAGAAAGAGGAUAGUUAUCUUAAUCUGUGGUCGAUCGAUCGGUCUCACUCCCAGCGGAACAGAAUCAGAGCAGCUAGCACGGCUCUCCACUAAACAAUUACAGUAUAAGCAGGACGGCACCACCAGGAUAUGUUCGAUUCUACACUUUCUUCCCCCACUCACCUUUAAGUUUCCCUUUUGUUUUCUCUCGAUAUUUUGGUUGCGUUCCUCCCUACGCGUGGCUGAAUGCACCAUCUAGCAGUAGUACUCGUAUGCAGUAUGUUUCGAAAUUCAGACAAGAAAGCAGAGCAAGGUAAAAAAUAAGUAGCAGUAGUAGUACUAGGAACUGUGGUACUCCAGUAAUAUAUCUCAAUUCAGAGUACAAGCAUAUGGGUGCACAUGCAUGCCAAGACAAGGAGCUUCAAUGCCGUUUCUUUUCAAGGAAAAAAAAAGGAAGAAAAUAUGGAGCUAUUGGCAGCCGUCCAUCUCGCUCGUGGUUCUACUACGUACUUCGAUCAAGUGAUCCGCCAUGGACGACCACUGGUUGGCGCGUUCAGAAGGAAGCUGAGGCCCGCGGGGGGCACGGCGUCGACGGCCAGAACUGGGCGGGCUUGACCUUGGAGACGCUGGUGAGCACCCCCAGCGGCGUCACGUCGCCGACCACCGUCACCUUCUUGCUCGGGAUGUCGAUGUCGAACGACGUCACGCCCUCCAUCUUGGCGAGGUGCUUCUUCACCUUGCCCGCGCACCCCUUGCAGUGCAGCGACACCCGAAGCACAACCACCUGCGUCGUCCUCGCCGCCGCCGUCGUCGAGGACGACCGCGCCAGCGCCGCCGGCUUGUGCUGCUCCUCUUCUUGGACGGCCGUGAUCUCCGACGACGACGAAGCAGAGGAGGACGUCCCCGACGACGAAGACUCUGCUUGGUGCCCAGUCGACGGCGGCGCCUCCUUGACAAAGGGAACCGGCAGGGAGCCGUCGACCGGGAACGCGUCGAUGAAGGACGGCGGGUUCGGCUUCCCUUCGCCACCAGGGAACGCGUCGAUGAAGGACGGCGGCGGAGGCGGCGGCAGCGCGAGGACGUCGAGGUCGUCGGACUGCAGGCGGGAGGAGUUGAGGAGGAACCUGGAGGAGGUGGCCGGGCUCACCAGCCUCUUCUCUGAAGAUCUACUGCCACUGAUACCGGCAGCAGCAGCGGUGGUGCUCUUCUUCUUCUUCUUGCUGCCGUGGCCGUGCUGCUGCUGCUGCUUGGGGUCGUCGGAGGACGCCGAGUCUUUGGUGGUGCUACUGGUGCUUGGCCUGGGCGGCUUGGAGGCGGAGGAGCGGUGCGGGUCGCGGAGGCGCGGCGAGUGGCGGUCGAUGGCCCGGCCGCUGCUGCCGACGACGGCGCCGGUGCCAGUGGAGGCGAUGAUGUUGGUGGCGUCGGCGGAGGUGCAGGAGAUGGAGAUGGUGGGCAGGCCCAGCCGCUUGUGCACGCCCUUGAGAAGCAGAGACGCCAUGGAACGAAGCAAGAUGGCCGGUCUCUGGGUUGGGUUGGUGGUGCUGGUGCACAAUGAGAUGAAAUGAAUGAUGAUUCUCUUCUUCUCCGCGAGAAAGGAGCUUUUAAACUUGGGGCUUUGGAAGGAAGGAAGGAAGCGGCCAAAGCAAAAGCCAAAACCGCUGCCAACGAGUGUGCUCUGCUUCUUGGGUUGACGUGGGGCAUGUACGUGGCGCAACUGCCGGUCCACGUGUGCGUGUAGCUCCAGCAUAUGCAUGCAUUUUUUUUAAAAAAAGGUUAUCCCGACCUCUGGGAUUCAUGCAUUUUUUUUUAAAAAAAAGGUUAUCCCGGCCUCUGGGAUUGAUAAUGCUCGCAUAGAGCUAAAAACAUAGAAACGGAUAGCCACAACCGACAAAAUAAAGAUAAAUAGGUGACGAAACACCUAUCCUAUUACACGACCGUCAUACAAAUCGGUUAAAGAUAGUCCUAACGGAUAGACCGAGUAGCCAUAUGCUCCCUAGCAUUCAUGUGAGUGAGUAGCACAUAUGGAUAAAUGCAGUGGAGCAUAUGCAUGCAUGCUACGAUCCAGCUGGACAGUUUCGGACCGUAGUGAGUGAGUGAGUCAGUGAGUGUGCUACUGGCCACUAGCUUCACCUACCGAGUGUACCUACCAGCCGGACAAGACCAGCAGACAGAGCUGUGCAUCUGCAUGCAUACUGCUCACUGACAUCAUCAGUCGGCAGAUACAUGUCCUUUCUGGAAUCAGCCCGUUACUUGGCGUAAUUACCUCGAUCGAUCGUGUAAUCAGCAGCAGGAGGGUCUAAUCUGUACUUGCCGUAAAUUUUGUUGAUUAACGCGAACAAGCUCUGAAGCUGUCUGCACUAGUUUAAAGGCGACGCAGCUGAGAUGGCAUACACAAAGAGAGAUUCGCUAAAUCAGCAGAGAGAUGAAUUGAUGCCCAAAACUAGCCGCUGCGACGGAUCCCCAAAACUACCUUCAGUGUCAAUGUUGUGUACUGCACAUGUUCGUCACUAACCUUCAGUGUCAAUGUUAUGUAUGGCAUCCGAUGUUCAUGUUCAGAUACGGCUGUUUGUAUCAUUGUAUGUACUCUCCCGUGUUAAAAUAAGUGUCGUUAAUUUAGUAUAACUGUAAAGUUUAGUGUAGAAUAAUAUCCGGGACUGCUUACCCUUCACUGUAAGCCUGAAAAUUUAAGAAAAUUGUGUGAAUUGAUUUCCUCAGGUUCGUACGUUCCUACUCCCUUCGUUUGGAAUUACUUAUCGUAGAAAUGGAUGUAUCUAGAUGUAGAUACAUCCAUUUUCGAGACAAGUAAUUCCGAACGGAGGGAGUACCAAGCAAUUCAAACACAAUUAGCACACUGCACACGCACACAAAGCCAAAGGAAGAGGCCCUGGAAUAAAGACACACGUAGAGAGACCGAGAGCGAGACAUCGAUUUGUGCAGCUUCGUCGGGUUACUCCUCAUCGCCAUCCGUCCAUCGAUCAAAAUCGUACAGAACAAGUCAGUCAGAAGAAGAAUAGGAAGAAAGGGACCCGAAUAUAUUCGACAUUUGCUACAACAGCCGCCACUCCUUCUUCCUCCGUAGUCGGCCGGGAGAAGGAGAAAAGGACCUGAGAGGAGCACGAUCAACUUUCCUCGUCGUCUGCUGUAAGAAACAACUACACAUGUCAUCAUGUCACUGUCCGCCUUUUAUUUUGUUGACAUUUACACACGACCAGCGAGGAAGCAACGCAACGAUCGAUUUGGUGCAGAUCACUCUUAUAUAUUGACCGACUCACUGCUGUUGACUGGUUUGUCUAACGUUUUCGUUUUGUGAAAUGCAUGGAUUGCAUAUUUGAUUGUACCACUACAAAUUGCGGCACUACUCAUUAGUCGUCGUCGUAGUUGGUGUUCCGUUAUUUUCAUACUACUGAAUAACUAUUACAACUAAUCAUGACUUGUACCAAGCUCCAUCGAACUUGCAUUGCUUUUAACAUUUCUUUUAUUGAAAGGUGCCAAAAGGAAAGCUCGCAUGAAACAAAGAAAAGUCGCACUAAACAUGAACCACGUGUAAUGCCGAGCUAGAUGCAUGCGUACCUGAAAAUAGGCAGCGGCGGGAGACGGCUAGAAAGGAAGAAUACACCAACAAAUUCCAACGAAAGGUGAAUUUAUAGUGUUGCGAUACAUAUAUGUAGGUAGAACAUGCUAAGCAUAGUUGGCUGGCACAAUGGUCUAAUUGAUACCUUAAUUUGUGCGCCGCAACUAGCCGCUUCUUGUCCAAUAUGGAAGAUAAUAAGCCAAUUACUGCAUCAGUACCUAGGCCAAUUUGGGCCACUUAAUUAACUUUCUGGUGUAAUCAUGGCCGGCGGGCAUGCAUCCUCGUCCGGAGAAGCUGCACUGAAACAAUGACACGCAGACGCAGGUGUACUGUCUCCUUAAUUUCUGCAUCUUUUGUGGACUAGUAUAGCCUUUCCAGAUGCAACUUUUUGAAAAGAAAUUUUGAUUAAGAGGGUGCUUGAUACGUUUUAGUCCCGUGACUAAAAGCAGUGGGACUAAAACUUGCUAGCUAGCCUCAUCCAUGCUUGGAUACAAAUACUACUAAAGAGACUAAAAUCAAGUUAAUGAGCAUUUAUUAUCCUUCAAACCCUCCAAUCCAGAACUCAUCUGUGUUAAAGAAGAGGAGUUAAAUGAGGAGAGAGGGACUAAUUCACAUUUUAGUAGGGGUACCCCUGACUAAAAAAUUUAGUCUCAAGACUAGUUUUAGCCCCUCUUUAGUUAGGGGUGCUUGGAACUUUAGUCUCUUAAAGAGACUAUUUUUAGUCAGACUAAAAUAAGUCCCUUGGAUCCAAGCACCCUCUAACUUAUAUCUUCAUGAGAAGCUGAAAUUGGUUCAGAAGGUAAGUAAAUUAAAGUGACUCAUUAUCAUACGGAGAAUGUUGAGAGAAGGGGUGGUGGUAAGAAAAGUGAAACAUAAAACCUUACAUUCUUUUUAGCUAGAUAUAUAGAUAUAGAUAUAAAGAAGAGAUUUUUUUUCCCUUGCAUUUGUUGUGCUGCCAAAGUGUGCUUUCCUUACAUUGUCAGAUGGUGUUUAUUCUUGACAAUCUACUCACUACCAAUUAGUACUGGCAGUAUCGAAUAAUAUUUUGGCUGCACUACGGAAACAACCAUUAAAAUCAUUUACAUCCAAAAUGAAAACUGAAAUAUCUUCAGCACCAUUUGGGUUAUACAUAUUUUAAAAUUCAUCAUCAAAUAACCUUUGUAAACGGUACACCGAGAUUAGAGUACAUGUGUUAUUCAGCGGACCCUUCCAUUUUAUAAGUAUGUUAGGCACAAUAAAAAGUUCUGCUAUGGGAGUAUCCUUGGUGCAUGCAGUCCUAGUUCGAUUAGUCAACUGAGAAACGGGCACGGGUAUGCAAAGCAUCCUGGAAAAACCCAGCGCGUUUCUAAAAAGCAAGCUAUCACUCCUAUCUCUUUUCGUGUGGUGAUGAACCCUUCAGGAACAUUUUUAUGGAAGGAGCUUUUUCUCUCGCGUGUGUAUGCAUGUUUGUUUGGUCCACACACACACCACGCGGCAUGUAUACGUUUGGUAGAGGGAGCCACGACCACAAUGGGCUCGAAUAGAAUCUGAUGCUUCCUACCGGGGGCACUUUCUUUCAUUAUUGGUUUUGUCAUACAAUGUGCGCACUGCUUUUCCGUUUUCUUAAAGAAAACGUGCACAUUGCUUUCUGAAAUUAUCUGGAGAGUUGGAGGGCACCUCAUUGCUUUAUUUUUAUUUAAUUUAACUCCUAAUUAGUUUUUAUUUUGCGGGGAUCUCCUAGCUAGUUAUGGAUUGGUCGUCUUUUACAGGCAUGUGGUUUCAUUCAUCCGAUUUGAAAAACUGAAAACAACACGGGGAACAAAGAGCCCUUGUAAAACUAAGUGUUACUUCCAUAGUUCCAUUGAUCCUCUCCGCCCUAUUGAUGGCGGAGAGGGCAGACGCCACGUCUCAAUAGCACAUCGUGGCAGUUAAUGGCAAUAGACCACGUGCCAACUUUCUGCUGCCAUUAACGCAACGUUUUCCUGCCUCUCGCCACCUUUCUUGACACAUUUCACCGGCCGGCGCCCGCGUCUAUAAGAAGACCGUCGCCAUGACCAAAUUGCUCAUCCUCUUUCCCUGCUCCAUGCACUUCCAUCGCAAUUACCAUGGCUGAAUAGUUCACCUCCACUAUGACUAAAUAGCUCAUCCUAUUUACCCACAACCUCCACAUCCCUUCCCAUUGCCAUUGCGUAAUAGCUCACCGUGGCUAUGCCUCUUUGCCUUCAUAAGCGGCCAUAUUGGAUGCCUAUCUCGGAGGAGAUUUCCACGAAGCAGGAUCCCAUCGACUUCUUGUGAGGUUAUCCGUAUCGGAAUCCGAAAACUUGUGGCAUCAGGUAUGAUUCUCAUUGCGGCUUCAACCUGAUCCUGCAUCGCCAGUAGGGAGCUCACCCACAUAGCUCUCUUGGGACACCACCUGCUCCCCUGCUGCAUCGCGUAAUGGAGCCUGUCAAUGUUAAAACCGGCGGAUCUCGGAUAGGGGGUCUCGAACUGUGCGUCUAGGCGGAUGGUAACAGGAGACAAGGGACACGAUGUUUUACCCAGGUUUGGGCCCUCUUGAUGAAGGUAAAACCCUACGUCCUGCUUGAUUGAUAUUGAUGAUGUGGGUAUUACAAGAGUAGAUCUACCACGAGAUCAAGAAGGCUAAACCCUAGAAGCUAGCCUAUGGUAUGAUUGUUGUUAUUGUCGUCGUCCUACGGACUAAAACCAUCCGGUUUAUAUAGACACCGGAGAGGGCUAGGGUUACACAGAGUCGGUUACAAUGGUAGGAGAUCUACAUAUCUGCAUCGCCAAGCUUGUCUUCCACGCCAAGGAAAGUCCCAUCCGGACACAGGACGAAGUCUCCAAUCUUGUAUCUUCAUAGUCUUGGAGUCCGGCCGAUGAUGAUAGUUCGGCUAUCCGGACACCCCCUAGUCCAGGACUCCCUCAGUAGCCCCUGAACCAGGCUUCAAUGACGAUGAGUCCGGCGCGUAUAUUGUCUUCGACAUUGCAAGGCGGGUUCCUUCUCCGAAUAAUCUGUAGAAGAUUGUGAACACCAGGAUAGUGUCCGGCUCUGCAAAAUAAAUUCCACAUUCCACCGUAGAGAGAAUAAUAUUUACACAAAUUCAAUCUGCUGACUUAUUUCGUGGCGCGAUGUCACACCACAACCAAGCCUUUACUUGAAUAGUUUUUAUUAUACCACCUUAGCGCGUUUAGCGAAGCGGUUUCCUUGGCACGUCUUGUCGAAGCAGAGAUCGUGCUCCCCUUAUUCCGGGAUUCUCAUCAAUACGGACGUGGGUAACCCAACCGCGCCAUUGAUUGCGGCGCUUGGGAGAAAAACGAGUUUUACCAGGCCGGUGGGGACGCAUAGUUUCGUCUGCCCAUAUAUAAGGGGAUAAGGAUCCACCUUUUUACCUGCGCCUUCUUCCUCCUUUGCUUAUCCAUCUCCGCGCACUCGAGCUCCAGCGCCCAAGUCCGCACAUCUCGCCUCGACCUUCUCCAGCCAUGUCCGGAGCGGGAGGCAAGUGGAUGGCCUCCUCCGUUACGGAGGGGCACAUCGAGAGGCUGCGCGGCGCCGGAUACCUGUCCAGCGACAUCGCGCACCGGCUCCCCAACAAGGGGCAGCUCAUCCCUAGCCCCAGGCCCCAUGAGAGGGUGGUAUUCCUUCCCCAUUUCCUCCGCGGACUGGGCUUCCCACUUCACCCUUUGUCCGGGGGCUCAUGUUAUACUACGGCCUGGAUUUCCAUGAUCUGGCCCCAAAUUUCAUCCUCAACAUCUCGGUGUUUAUCGUCGUGUGCGAGGCUUUCCUCUGCAUCCAGCCCCACUUCGGCUUGUGGCUCAAGAUCUUCAAUGUCAAGCCGAAGGUCGUGAAGGGGAAUCAAGCGGAAUGCGGAGGCGCCAUGGUGGGCAAGAUACCCAACGUUACUUGGCUCGAGGGCGCCUUCGUGGAAACCAUCAAGGGGUGGCAAUCGGGGUGGUUCUACAUCACCGAGCCGCAUGACCCUAAAUGGGUAGCGGCCCCCGAAUUCAGAUCUGGCAUCCCCACAUAGCUCACCUCUUGGAAGGAGAGUGGCCUGACUUGGGGCGAUUCGGAGGAGCUGACCGGACUCCAAGACUGUAUCCAGAAGCUGGUGGACAAGAAGCUCAAGCUUGUCAACGUCGUCCAGGUCAUGCUCAUCCGCCGGAUCCUCCCGUGCCAACAACGGGCCUUUAAACUGUGGGAGUUCGAUCCGGCUCAGCACCGAACCUUGAGCGGGCUCUUCGACACUAGGUACGAAGAUGCCUGGAAGGUGCUUUUUAAGGGCGUUGAGGCCCCCGCAUCCGCUACCGAAGAUCGCGGAUUCCGCUCGCAGCGUCAGGCUGACGAGGUAAAUGAUUUUACCCUUUACGGGAUACUUGUUUUUCAUAGUUUGACUCUAUGCGGGAUCUAAACUCCCUUUCCUUUGACAGGACUGGCUGAAGAAGGCCGAGCAGACUAACUGUCCGGCCCCCUUGCCAGAAGACCCAGUGGAUGGCCACAUGGCGGGGCUGUUGGUUCCGGCACCCCAUGUGGUGCCGGAGAAGAAGGCCAAGAAGGUGUCCGAUGACUCCGAGGCGGACUCCUCCCCCGAGGAUGAGGAGAAGAAGAAAAGGGCCUCUCCCCCAGCGGGGGGAGGGAAGAAAAGGAGGACCUCCCCAACGAGGGAGGCCGAAGGGUCCAAGAAGGGAAGAACUCUUCCCCCGGACUGUUCUGCCAACACCGGUGACGACGACGAGGAUUGGCCUCCGAGGGCCAAGCCCCUGGCGAGAUCGUAAGUAUCCGGACUCCCGAAUGACUUCAUAAUUUUUCUUUUUGCCACUUGGUGUCUUUCUAACGCCGCAUACAACCCUGCAGUCGGCCCAAGGACGAUCUUCCCGCUUCGUCGAGCGGGUCCUUGGGUUCGUCGGAUGUGAACAGCACUUCACUUCCAACCGCCUAUUCUCCCCGCGACGCUGACAACGUCGAGGUGGGAUCCCAGAGAGGGACCCAUCCGGAGGAGGAGGACCCGGAGGUAGCACAGGGCGACCUCCCGGACUUCGUGCCGGACUCCGCACCGGAACCUGCAGUGGUUCUGGAGUCCGGCAGGCGGCCCCUUCGCAAGAAGGGCAAGACCGUGGCGCCGGCGGCCUCCGUCCAACUGGAGGCGCCGGAUAACUUGCUGGAGGCGCUCAACGGCGCUUCCAUCGAGGAGGAACACCGCACUGUCAUGAGUGCGGUGAUUCAGAAGGUCCAGCUCACCAAAAGCGGGCUGACCGAAGCCUGCAGCAGCCUUCUAUCAGGCUUUGAGGUAAGAAUGUUAAUAUAUGUAAAAUAGUACCGCAUAGACAGUAGCCCCUGAUGCUCGGUUCGGUGUUCGGAAAGAAAAGCCGGACUGAGGAUCUAAAAAGAUGUACGCAGGAGUCAUAAAAAAUAUGUCGAUAUGGGAUUGCAAGCUACCCUGCUGAUCUCUGCCGCCGCAAGUGCGGAGGUCAAUGCUUUGAAGCAAAACCUCGAGCGGUCCGAGAACGAGCUUGGCCGUGCCAAGAAGCAACUCGAGGACAAAGAAGGUGAGUAGAACCUUAUUAAAGUUGUACCUUACAGAAAAGGAUUUGGUUGCAAAAAGAAUGACAAGGAUAAUGUGGGUAUUGCAGGGGCCACAAACGAGGUGGCGACCCUGAAGGAGGCAGUGUCCGUGGCCGAACGUAAUGCGGCCGCGGAGCGCGCCGAGCGAGAGAAGCAGGAGGCGCGGGUGGCGGAGGUACGGCAAGAGCUCGAGGCUCUCGUGGAAAAACAUGAGAGUUUGGAGCGUGACUCGAAGACUCGAGAGUCCGAGCUUGCAUCGGCUCUUGAGAGUGCCAAGCCGCUAAGGCCGAAGCCUACAAGGCCCUCCAGGAAAUCGAGGCGUUGAAGAAAAUAGCGUCGGGUAAAGCAUUUUUCAUGCAAAGCAAGCAUGUGGAUGUGUAUUACGUGUUACUUACCCGAAUUCGGAGCUCUCCAGGAGCGUUCGCAGAUCUGCCCCGCAGCGUGUCCGAUGUUGCCGCUUUCUACAAGGCCGAGGGAGGGAGCUCGACAGAGAAGGUCUUCUGGUCUCAGUAUGCUGAGGCCGGACAUCAGAUUCCCCUUAGCGACCAGCUGAAGCAGCUGGUCGAGCUCCACAAGGUGGCCGAACAGGCCAUGAAGGGCCUCAUAGUUCGGCUGUGGCCCAAUGAGGCCAUGCCUGGGAGCUACUUCGGCCCGGUGCGGCAGCUGGUGGAUGCGUGUCCAUGGGUUGAGGUCAUCAAGCGAUCCGCCUGUAUUGAAGGUGCCCGUUGGACCCUUGCCCGUGCUAAGGUGCACUGGGGCAAGAUGGAUGCUGAGAAGCUUGUGACGGACGCGCCACCGCCGGGCAAGGAGUAUCGCACGCCCGAGAUGUAUUAUAAGAGUGUCCUGAAGGGUGCCCGCACUAUUGCGGGUGAGUGCUCCAAUAAUGUAAUAUUUGAGUAAACUCGCAUUUUGUUAUCCUGUGUGCAGAAAACUUUGUUCAUAUGCGCUAAGCAACGCUUGUUGAUUUAAAAUAUUACCUUCUGUGCGGCUGUUUAUCAAAUCUGAGAGAUGGCAAGUCGUCGGCUUCGGGCCCCAUGCCACGAGUGCUGGGGUGUUCGGUAUAAAUUUGAGCACUCUUGUUCCCAUAUUUGGGUCCAUCUAGGGAGGCGCUCAACACGACGGACUAGGCAACCAGACUUAUAAUGCUUGAACACUCUCACUUAGCCAUAGAAUUCUAUAAUUUUAAAUUUCGGCGAAGCCCCUAGUGUUCGGAAGGACGAAUUCGGGGCACUAUCCACGCCUGGGCCGGACAGAGCCGGUUCCUCGCUCUAAGCGGCAUAAGUCUUUAGGGACUCGAAAAAACCUCUCGAACAGCGACCGACUCUCGCCUCAUCAUGACGGUCAGUUUUAGCUUUCUCCACUGAGGCGUUAACCCAGCUCAACUGGGGCGCAAUCGUAGUGGUUCUCCCAGUGCUACCUUAGCCGAUACAACGGAACGUAAGGUACCAAAACAUGGGAGCCGGGCAAACCCAACUAUUGACCCAAGACAUGAUUCGAAGCUGAUGCAUAUAAUGCUAUAAGUUCAGAGUGCCGCACUUGUGAAAGUGUUCGGACUUACCACACCAUGAUGUGGGGAACAUAAGCCCCUGGUGUUUUUAGCCGUACCAAAGUGUACGGAUGCAACAUGUCGUAAAUGAACAUAUGUAUAAGAAAGAAAUGCAAUUAUAAGCAAAAAGGUGCUGCAUUAUUUUAUUCAAGAAGUACUGCUAUGAAUGCAGAAUGAUACAAAUAGUGCGAUAAGCAAGGGACGGGACUGUUAAACAUGUCCCCCUCCAGGGGUAGGCUGCGGAGUGGUGUAUAAAGCAGAUUAAAUUCUUGUAAGGGAGACCACCUGGAUAUUCGUCACAGCCUUUCUCCUUCCCUGGUUGUUGCAUCGUGAGUUCGGCCGGUCUACUGCCGGACAGGGCCUCUGGUAAACGUAGUCCUGUGGGUAAGGAAAAAAAGAAAAAAAGAAAUGACACACUUAGGAGCCCCUGAUGUGGUUGAGCCGCAUUCUGGGCCUGUCGUGGUCGUGCCCCUUCUCCUAUGCCCAUGGUAUCUCCAGAGCGUAAUGAUGUACGCGAAGGACCAGUCUUGCAAUCUUGCGAGGGCUGGGGUUUGGGUCGCAUUGCUACGCGUGCUCGGAACGCGCCAGGUGGUCUUGUUGUAGGUUACUGCGGGCGCGUUUGACUGUGUCCGGUCGCUUAACGGCCGGACUCGAGAAUUGCCUUAAGAGGCUACAUUGUACUUCUGCUGCGAGAGCCGCUGUAUGUUCCUCCGUUCGGAGGGAGCGCUCGGUGUUUCCGUUGACCGUGAUGACUCCUCGAGGGCCUGCCAUCUUGAGCUUGAGGUAUGCGUAGUGCGGCUCUGCGUUGAACUUUGCAAACGCGGUCCGUCCGAGCAGAGCAUGAUAGCCGCUGCGGAACGGAAUUAUGUCGAAGAUUAAUUCCUCGCUUCGGAAGUUAUCCGGGGAUCCGAAGACCACUUCCAGUGUGACUGAGCCCGUACAAUUGGCCUCUACACUUGGUAUGACACCUUUGAAGGUCGUCUUUGUGGGUUUAAUCCUUGAGGGGUCUAUGCCCAUCUUGCGCACUGUGUCCUGAUAAAGCAGGUUCGUGCUGCUGCCGCCGCCCAUCAGGACUCUGGUGAGGUGAAAUCCAUCGACGAUUGGGUCUAAAACCAAUGCGGCGAAUCCUCAGUGGCGGAUGCUGGUGGGGUGGUCCCUUCGAUCAAAAGUGAUCGAGCAGGAGGACCAUGGGUUGAACUUCGGGGCGACUGGCUCCAUCGCGUAUACGUCCCUGAGUGCACGCUUCCGCUCCCUCUUGGGUAUGUGGGUUGCGUAUAUCAUAUUCACCGUCCACACUUAUGGGGGGAAACCCUUCUGUCCUCUGUUGUUCGGCGGUCGGGUCUCUUCUUCGUCAUCGCUAUGCAGCCCCUUGUCAUUGUUUUCGGCGAUUAGCUUGCCUGCCUGCUUGAAUACCCAACAGUUCCUGUUGGUGUGGUUGGCUGGCUUUUCGGGGGUGUCGUGUAUCUGGCACGAGCGAUCGAGUAUUCGGUCCAAAUUGGACGGACCCGUAGUAGUUCUUUUGAAUGGCUUCUUCCGCUAACCGGGUUUCGAGCCUCUGAAUCCGGCGUUGACUGUCGUAUCCUCAUUAUUGUCGCCGUUAAUGCGGCGUUUAUUCUUGUUGCGACGUGACCUGCCAUUGCGAUCCUUGGUAUCCGGACUGCCGAAAUUUUUGCUGAGGUUGUUGCUGCGAGCUAGGCAGCUGUCCUCUCCCGCACAAAAGCGGGUCAUGAGUGAUGUGAGGGCUGCCAUGGAUUUCGGCUUUUCCUGUCCCAGGUGCCGGGCAAGCCACUCGUCGCGGAUGUUAUGUUUGAAGGCUGCGAGGGCCUCCGCAUCCGGACAGUCGAUGAUUUGAUUUUUCUUAGUUAAGAACCGUGUCCAGAAUUGUCUGACUGAUUCGUCUGGCUGCUGAAUUAUGUGGCUUAGGUCGUCAGCGUCUGGUGGUCGCACAUACGUGCCAUGGAAGUUAUCAAGGAAUGCGGCUUCCAGGUCCUCCCAACAUCCAAUUGAUUCUGCUGGCAAGCUGUUAAGCCAAUGCCGAGCUGGUCCUUUAAGCUUGAGUGGGAGGCAUUUGAUGGCGUGAAGAUCGUCACCGCGGGCCAUGUGGAUAUGAAGGAGAUAGUCUUUGAUCCAAACCGCGGGGUCUGUUGUGCCGUCAUAGGAUUCGAUAUUCAUGGGUUUAAACCCUUCGGAGAUUUGAUGAUCCAUAACUUCGUCUGUGAAGCAUAGUGGGUGUGCGGCGCCUCUGUAUUGGGCUAUAUCGCGACGAAGCUCCAACGAGCUUUGUCUAUUGUGUUCGGCCCGGCCGGACUUACUGUGUCCGGCGCGACGGUUGUCGUCACGUAUCAUGGGGCGCCCAGGCGAUCCGUAGAUCGACCUUGAUUGUCUUGCCUUAUCCUCCAAUAUAUCUCGCAAGUCCGGAGCAUUCCCCUAUGGCCUUGUGCUGCUCGAGCGGUGCCGGGGUACGGUUAUAGUGAAGGGCCUAGAGGCCUCUCUGUCGCGGCCACGAGGUGGCCGGUCAGCCGUAUUGUGCUCUGGUGAUGCAGGUUUAUAUGCCUCCUCCUCUAAUCAGGGGAGCAACUUGCGUUUGGGGUAGCUUUUGGAGGGGCGUUCGAGCUCAUGCUCUUCGGCCGCCAGGACUUCUGUCCAUCUGUCGGCUAGCAGAUCCUGAUCAGCUCUAAGCUGUUGCUGCUUUUUCUUGAGGCUGUUUGCCGUGGCCAUAAGCCUGCUGUCUGUGUCAAAACCGGCGGAUCUCGGAUAGGGGUCCCGAACUGUGCGUUUAGGCGGAUGGUAAUAGGAGACAAGGGACACGAUGUUUUACCCAGGUUCGGGCCCUCUUGAUGGAGGUAAAACCCUACGUCCUGCUUGAUUAAUAUUGAUGAUGUGUGUUACAAGAGGGGAUCUACCACGAGAUCAAGGAGGCUAAACCCUAGAAACUAGCCUAUGGUAUGAUUGUUGUUCGUCCUAUGGACUAAAGUCAUCCGGUUUAUAUAGACACCGGAGAGGGCUAGGGUUACACAAAGUCGGUUACAAUGGUAGGAGAUCUACAUAUCCGUAUCGCCAAGUUUGCCUUCCACGCCAAGGAAAGUCCCAUCCGAACACGGGACGAAGUCUUCAAUCUUAUAUUUUUAUAGUCUUGGAGUCCGGCCGAUGAUGAUAGUUCGGCUAUCCGGACACCCCCUAGUCCAGGACUCCCUCACUAGGUCUGUAUGUGAUUAUAGAUACGAAAAAACAUUACAACAUACGACUACUAAUUGUGCAGCACUCUUUGGAGUAGCUAACUAAAUAGGAAACAUGCUAGCUAUCUAGGCCGGCGGUUAGUGUUGUUUUUUGUUAUGUUUGUAGCGAAGUAGGAAACCGUGCGGAAGCUGCCGAUGGAUUGAUGGAUGGAUGUAUUGUUGUUGUUUUCUCUUUGGAGUACUAUCUUAUGAGUCGCUUUGACAGCAAGGUACUCCGUAGUUUAGAGCAGAGGAGCUUUUCGCGCGUGCAUAUACAACUAUGCAAAGAAGGAUUGCAUAUAUAUUUUUCGGGUUCUGAGUUUUUGACCUAUCUUAUCUGGGCUUGAUUUUCCUGGUCGAUGGACUCAUCUUAUAUCAUAUCAGUCAUGACCCCUCCACCCAAACCAACCAAAAUCUGUUAACAAGAAUGAACUCCCUAUCGAUCUCUGUGACAGGGAAACAAGUUGAUUUCUUUAGCUGAUGAGAGUAAUAUAUGAAGAAUGUUGACGUCCAAGCUUCCAAUUGCUCUUUCACUGCUGCUGAUGUACUACUACACGGCGGCUAAUGAUGGAUAUCAAUCAACUUAAGAGGGAUGAAUAUCUUGGCUUUUGCACUUGUGCUGCUGCUAGUGGUCGAUGGAGAAUAAUAAGAUAUGUAUAAUCCAAAGAAAAAUGUGAUACUCGUAGUCAUCUUUGUGAGACCCAUCCAUGUCGUCCACCGGAGUAGAAUCAAAAUGUUAGUACUAAACAAUGACAAAAUAAGUUCGAUUCUACACUUUCUUCUCCACUCAACUUUAAUUUCCCCCUUUGUUUUCUCUCGAAUCUCCAUUUUUUUUUUUUGCGAGUAUUUAUGAAUCUCGAUGUUUUGGGUGCACGAUCGAUUACACAAGUUAUAUGCUUUGUAUCGAAAUUCAGACGAGAAAGCAGGCAAAGGUAAACAAAAUAUCAGUACAGUAACUGUAGCAUAUCACUACAGUAAAUGUAGAAAAUUCAGUGCCGUUUCUUUUCUUUCAAUGAAAAAGAAAGGAUGAAAGAUAGAGCUGCAGCUAGCCUGACGUACGUACGUUGAUGUCUAGCUAUGCUCUGCUAAUCAUCAUGCUGUGAUUCAGAGAGAGCGGAGAUCGCCGGCGCGUUCAGAAGGACGCGGAGGCGCGGGGCGGUUGCGGCGGCGACGGCCAGAACUGCGCGGGUUUGACCUUGGAGACGCUGGUGAGCACGCCCAGCGGCGUCACGUCGCCGACCACCGUCACCUUCUUGCUCGGGAUGUCGAUGUCGAACGACGUCACGCCCUCCAUCUUGGCGAGGUGCUUCUUCACCUUGCCCGCGCACCCCUUGCAGUGCAGCGACACCCUCAAAACCACCACCUGCGUCGUUCUUCUCUCCGUGGUCGUGGACGACCGCGCCAGCACCGCCGCCUUCUGCUGCUCCUCUUCUUCUUGGAGGGCUGUGAUCUCCGACGACGACGAAGCAGAGGAGGAGGACGAGGAGGUCUCUGCUUGCUGUACCGGCGACGGUGCCUCCUUCGCGAAGGAAAGAGGGAGCGAGGCGUUGCCGGGGGGGAACGCGUCGAUGAAGGACGGCGGCUUCCCUUCGCCGCCGGGGAACACGUCGAUGAACGACGGCGGCGGCGGCGGGGCAAGUGCGAGGACGUCGAGGUCGUCGGACUGCAGCCGGGAGGAGUUGAGGAGGAACCUGGACGACGUCGCCGGGCUUACCAGCCUCUUCUCUGAAGAUUUAGUCCCAGCAGGAGCGGUGGUGCUCUUGUUCUUCUUCUUCUUGUUGUUGCCGUGGCCGCGCUGCUGCUUGGAGUCGCCGGAGGACGCCGAGUCUUUGGCGCUGGCGCUGGUGCUUGGCCUUGGCGGCUUGGAGGUGGAGGAGCGGUGUGGGUCGCGGAGGCGGGGCGAGUGGCGGUCGAGGGCCCGGCCGCUGCUGCUGCCGACGCCGUUGGUGGUGGUGGUUGAGGCGAUGAUGUUGGUGGCCUCGGCGGAGGAGCAGGAGAUGGAGAUGGACGGCAGGCCCAGGCGCUUGUGCACGCCUUUGAGAAGCAGAGACGCCAUGGACUGUAAUGGAGCAAGAUGGCCGGCCGGAUUACUCUGCGUCUCUGGGUUGGGUUGGGGUUGGGUUGGGUUGGUGGUGCACAAUGAAAUGAAAUGAACGACGAUUCUCUUCUUCUUCGGCUUGUAUUGUAUUUGUAUGUGCCCACUGCCGCUCGCGUGCUUCAACUUUGGAAGGAAGGGAGGGGCCAAAGCCAAAUCCAAAACUGCCACGGAGUACUCUGCUUGUGUUGACGUGGGCCACUAGACACGUGGCACAACUUCUUGACCACGUGUGCACACCAUGUCAGAGUAAAGCUAGAAGUCACUCAGGUUUGUGAGUGAGUCGGUCAUUGAGCUACUGGCUACGGUCAUUGAGCUACUGGCUUUUACUACUUCACCUACCUACCCACCAAAUAACUGGACAAGAUCAGCAAGGACUGCAUGCAUGUUGCACACUGACUGACUGCAGAUGCAUGUCGUGGAAUCAGCCCGUUAGUAACUCGAGUCCGUGCACGACCAGCAUCGAUCGAUCGAUCACACGAGCGACUACGGAGUGUAAUCGACAAUGUCAGUAACCACAGGCACCAUUUUGUCGUGUAACAUGGCCGGACAAGUACUUCAGAUUGGUUUGUCUGUUUUAUAUACUGAUGUAAUGUCAAAAAUGUUCUUAUAUUAUGAGACGGAUGAAGUAGUUUGCUUAUGGUAUAGGUCAGAGAUAAGAUGAUGCGGCCUGCCUAGAGAUUCGAUGAAGCUGCCGCUACGUGGUGCCAAGUCUGCACAUGGGCCUGCUGAAUCAAAUCAUGAAAACGAGCGUCUGAGACAGAUAGAUCAUGCAGCAAAGCUCAGUGUACUACAGAUGUUCGUCUAUGAGCAUAAAUAAACAUACCACUAGUACAUAUUAGAAGGCAUCCGAUGGUCAGAUAUGUAAACAUAUACUCCCUUAGUCCUGUGAAAUCUGAAAUGUUUAUAUACAGAAAUUUUAUGAAAAAUUAUGUAGUGGAGUAAAAAUGUAUUGAAAAGGUGCAAGCCACCAUCUCUCUCCUUUUUAACUAUCCUACCUAAAUGAUCUAAGUGCGUGUAAAAAUUAAGGAGACCAUGUGUAGAAUGCUAUUGGUCUUGAUUACCAUGUGAUAAGAAAGAAGCAUUUUUUUCUAUUUUAAUGUGCAUUGGGAAGAUAUGUACACUCUUUUGUGGACAGAAUUUAAAGCCAACGUACACUUUUCACCGUACGGAGGAAGUAUGCAAGUAUAUUCUAGUGUCAUAGUUGAUCGUAGAAUGGAAUUAACAUCCAUCCGUUCGCAAGCCUUUACCAUACAACUAGCACACUGCGCACGCAAGUAGAGUUAGAGUCAGAGGAAGAGAUCGUUCGUCGAGUAAGAUUGCGAAAGGAAGUGAACGAUUUAUAUCGUUUCGCCAUCGCCAUAAACCAGUCGAUCGAAAUCAUACACAUACGUGGGAGUGGGAAGAAGAGAGGGACCCGAAUAAAUUCCAGACAUUUGGACCCACAGCCGCCACCCUUUUAUCUACUCUUUUUCCCUUUCCUUUCUUUCUCACUUGCUCUAGCUGAGAGUAGGAGAAGAGGACCUGAGAGCGGAGGAGUAUUCAUGUGUACCUUUCGAUCGGCUAACUUCCUUCGUCUCUGCAGCAAGUAACAGCUACAUAAACUGAUCCGUGUCCAGCAGCUCUUAGUUUUUCUUUUUGACGUUUACAGCACCAGCAAAGAACCAUGAUAAUCCUGUUUACCACUCUUAAUUAAACUUUGUCUUAUUGACGACCGACUCACUGGCUGGUCUCAACUCCACUGAGUGGUAUGUCUAGCUAGUAGUAGCAGCAUUUGGUUCAUAGAAAUUCGUGUGUUAAUGUUUGAUUACCCGUGUAAUAAUCAAAUUGCUGCACAAGUCGUGAGUAGUUGGUGUUCCGUUAUUGUCAUGCUCAAUUACUACCACUACUACUCAUGACUUGUACCUAGCUAGCUCCAUCAAACUAGCAUUGCAUGAGCUGCUAGCGUUUUCUUUUUUAAUUUCCUUUUUUUAUUAAAAGGAGCGAAAAGAAAAACAUGACGAAGCUGAGAAAAUACGCACUUAACAUGAAACGUGAAAUGCCUAACUAGAUGCCUACGUACCCGAAAUUAGGCAGCGGCGGGAGAGGGCUAAAAGGGAAUGAUUAAUACACAAGUAGUAAGAAAAUUCAAGGAAAGGUGAGUAGUGUAGCGUAGGCAGUAGAUGUAGUAUUUGGGCACAAUGGUCAAAAUGAUCCCUUAUUUUGUGCACCACAACUAGCCACUUCUUGGCCAAUAAUGGAAGAAAGGCCAAUGACUGCACCAAUACCUAGGCCAAUUUGGGCAAGCUUAAUUUAUUUUUUUGGUGUAAUCAUGGCCGGCCAGCAUGCAUCCUCGUCCGGAGAAGCUGCACUGAUGAAACAAAGUGUGCCUUCCUCCCACGGUCCCAUGCAGAUUAGUCUUAACAGUAGUAGUGGUGUUAGACAUAGCCAUAAUUUUUUGAGAAAUAAUAUUUUAACUGGACUACGAAAACAUAUACAUCAAAACUAAAAACUGAAAUAUAUUCAGCGGCAUUUCGGUAAUGCAAUAUUUUAAAAUUUAUCAUCAAAUAUCCUUGUUCAGCGGCCCCUCGGGUGCUCCAUUCUAUAAGUUUCUUGCGCACAAUAAAAGCUAAUGCCCAAAGUCCUGAUUUGGAGGCAUCCAUCGUACUUGCCUCCAAAGGUGCAGGAAUCCCCCUGAAAUGGCUCGACCAAUCUUUUUUUUUUCAUGGGGGCUCGACUAAUCUUGUUUAGUGCUAGUAGCACGUACCCUUGGUGCAUUCAGUCCAAAUUUGAGUAGUCAACUGAGAAACGGGCACGGGUGUCUUUCUGAAAAGCAAGCUAUCACUCCUGUCUUUCUCCAUCUCCUCUUUCCCUUUUUCUCUCACGCGUGUGUGUAUGGCUUCUUUCGUUUGGGAACAUAUUUUUGGAAGGAGCUGCAGCUUUGUGGUCGACCGUGGCAUGUAUGCAUUUGGUAGAGAAAACCACGGCGACGAUGGGCUUGAAUAGAAUCCGAUACUUCCUACCGCGGGGCUUUCUUUCUUUGCUUUCUCAUGCAAUGCGCAUAUUGCCUUUUUUUCUCAAAAAAGUGCACAUUGUUUUCUGAAAAUUUCUGGAGAGAUGGAGGCGCCAAAAUGCUUUAUUUGUUUAUUAAUUUAUUUAAUCAAAAUAACUCUCAGCUAGUUAACUUUUUGCGGGGUUCACUAGCUAGUUUAUUGUUUGAUCGUCUUUCACGCACAUGUGGUUUCAUUCAACUGAUCUGAAACCCCAACAACAACACGGGCAACAAUGACCCCUUGUAAAACUAACAGUUACUUUCACAGCUCUGCCCACAAAAAAACACACACUAAAAGUACACCGUACACCACCUUUCACUUGUCGAUACUCAUCCAUUCUUACUACAUUGUAGUACUAAGAAAAACAUGACAAAUGUUCCGAUGACUGAGCUAGGUUGUGGUUGUGCUGCUCCAUAAUCCAAAACAAAGACAUCACAUCAAUGGAUCAGCCCAAUCGAAACAGGUAGUUCUCAAGGACCACACAAUUCAAUUGUACUAUCACAGUUCCCAAAUGCCAACCGGCAAUAAUGCAUCUUAUUCUUGUUUCAUUUUGGCAGGUAGGGUAAUGAUAUUUUAUUCUUUGUCAGUUAUUAUUACUCGACAAAGCAAAAUGACGACACCUUGAUUUCUCGUGCCUCCACAAUCAAAUGAAACUACACGUAGUAUGUAACUAAACAAUAAUGGCGUCGUGCAUUGGUUGCUUGGUCUACAUGGGGUGGUGGUGAGGGGAGGAGGAUGAGGUGCAUGCACAGGCGUCGACGACUGGGGCUUUGAGCUCUGCAGGAUUGGGAAGGGAUCCUCGAGUCCGAAGGGGACCCUAACACUUUACUCGCCCCACCAAAGUCAACAAUAAUGAUGGUGCAAUGGACAAGCACCACCACUAUCACCGCCACCAUGACCACGGACCUCGAUAUGAUCCUUAACCGAAGUCUCCGCAUCUUUUGCAUGGAGUAUAUGUAUACGAACAUAUCGGAUCGACGGGGAGAACUGCAUCCCCUGUCCAGUUACUGGAUCGUCGUGCAUUGGUUGCUUGGUCUACGUGAUGCGGUGGUGAGCGGGAGGAGGAUGAAGCACAUGCAACGGCGUCGGCGACGAGGGUUUUGGGAUCGGCGGAAUUGGGAGGGAUCCUCCAGAUGGAAAGGGAACUCUUGCAUCUUUUGCAUUGAGUAUAUGUUUGCAAACAUAUUGGAUCGACGGGUGAGAACUGCAUCCCCUCACUAGUUAGCCUGUUUAAGUAGUAGUACAUCAAACAAAGUGAGCUCACAAGGAUUGCCAGUUAAGUGGCAUUUAAUACAAUCGAUUCAUGUCAAUUGCAACCUCGUCAAUUCCUACCACGCCAGGUAAUCUGAAAUGGACGGAGUUGUAAUUAACCUCGUUAACUGCCACACUACUGGAACUUGACAAGACCAGCAGAAUAGUGCACGCACGCUGCACACUGACUUCACCAGUCGGCAAGAUAUAGAUCGACCGUAAAAACAAAAUGUUGUUGUGUAAUGCGGACAAGCUGUACGAGCUGGAUCUGUCUGCUUAAACUAGUAAUAGUAUUUACUAAUUUACAGCCAAGAGAUUCGACGAUGAUAGAUGGUGCCAAAUCUGCACAUGCGCUUGUGCUCGGACCUAGAGAGAGAGAGAGAGAGAGAGAUUCACUCAACAGAUCGAAGCAUGCUCUGAAUCCUGCGACAAAUCAUUUAGCUACUUCAGUGCCGAUGCUGAUAAUAUCACCACCGCACAUCUUUGUCUCUCGCCAUAAAUAAAUGUACAUACAUAGAAUCCAAUUUUCAGACAUGUAUGUACGUAUAAUGCAGUGUAGAAUGAAAUUACUCCCUCUUUCCAUCUAUAUAGGGCCUAAUGUCUUUUUCUAAGACCGCCUUUGACUAUUGAUAAGAUUAAUAGUAUAUAAGAUGUAUAAUGUGAAAAUUAUAUCAUUGGGAGCUCCUUUCACAUACGAAUUUGACGGUAUGCUUUGUGUAACUUGCAUAUCAUAUAUUAUUGCUCUAACAUUUGGUCAAAGUUUGCCUCGAAAAACGCAUUAGACACUGUAUAGAUGGAAGGAGGGAAUAGGAACAACCAAUCCCUCUGUCUUUCUCCUUAGGCAUUUUUAUGUUCAUCUUCUUCAUCCAUAAGACCGUUGUGCUGUCGGCGGCCCCAACCUUCCCUUAAACAUCCUCGGAAAUAAGAUUUCUCUGAUGAGCCCGUACCCCUAUUCAGUGGCGGAGCUAGGCAAAAGGUUUAGGGGGGCUAAAUGCAAAUCAUGAAAAUCUGAGGGGGUCAACAACUAUUUUUCUCUAAAUCUGUGCCUCUUUAGAAAGAAUAUCUUCACAAAUAUUUCAAAGUUGCCCGACAUGAACAUAGCUCCGCCAUUGCCCCUAUUCAAACCACUCAUGCCUCGGAUUGACCUCCACUUAUGACGUCAUCGUCAGCCGGUGCCGCUGUCUUUAGCCUGAAAGUUUCACCGGAUUCGACUAAUCGUGAAAUAAAUUCUCAGUUACCUGAGAAAUAUCAAGGCGGAUGAAUUGAGAAAAAGGGUCUCCCCCGCUUUAUAUUAUAAAGCACCACAUCCAGCAUAAAACAACAGAAAGAAAAGAGCAAGAACGGUAAAGAUACAAGACACCGGAAGAACUUCUAACUCGGCUAACCCGGUCCUGCCUACGACACGACAAAGACAGGGAAGUAACCCGCAGCCGGAGGAGGCCACGCACUGUCAACUCCACCGAGGCUCAAACACUGUCGGUCCACAAGCCAUCUCUACCCCCGAAGAAGGCCCCCUGCCCUCUCGCCCCAGACCGUAGGGCGCCACGCCGUCGGCAGGUAAAGCCGCUCACCCGAGCGGAAGGCCGGACCAACAUGCCGCCAUGGAGAGGACGCAAGCACGGCCGACUCACCUCGCACCGCCACACCCAUACUUCAUCACCGCCGUAGCCCAGACCAACGUCGACCAAAAGAAGCUGAGCAGGAGCACCACUGAGGAAGACAAGCCUCCACCUACGAAGCCUCGACCACCCAUCCGCCGACCAAAGGCGGCGCCUUCAAGAAGGACAACAACGCCAGAGCGCCAUCACCACCCAACCGGAGAGUUUAGGCUUUCACCCAGGUCGCGGAGGAAGAGGGUGGGGGACGGACCUCGAUGCCGCCCCAACUGGAGACGCCGGAGCGCCGCCGGCACCGUGGACGCAGCCGCAGACCAAGGGUUUCCCCUGGUCCAAACCCACCAACCCUUCAUCCCCAACCAGCCACGAGCCCCGGGCACACGGAUGCCCGGCUCGCAGACCGGCGAGGUAAGAAGAGGCGCAGGGGAGGAGGUCGUCGCCGUCAGAUCCGCUCCAAGGGGCCAACGCAGAGACCCCAGAGCCAGCUCCGUGCCCGCCGCCAGCCCGCUGCCCAUGCAGCCAGACACGGCGGCCUUCCUCAUCAGCCCUGGCCACCCACCGCAGGGGAGUUGGUGCGCCACCCGGCAGCGGCCGCUGCCGCAGAUCCGGCGCGACAUGAGCAGGAGGCCCCGCUCGCGCCCGCGCAAGCCCCGCCACCACAGGGCCCUCCGCACAGCCGCCAAGCGCCAGUCCCACCGCCGCCGCCCGCCACCGCGCCUUCUGCCAGCGUUGCGCCACCACCUUUCCUCGUCGGCCCGCGCCAGCCCUUGACAAUGCAGGGGAAGAAACGUCCCGCCGCCGCCGACGUAGAAGGGCUUCGCCCCUCUGCGCGAGCCGGCGGCGACGAGAGGGAAGGCGGGGUGGGAGGGGGGCCGAAGGUUGGCGGCUAGGGUUUCCCCUUCGCGUCACUCGCGGGAGUGACCGGGAGGGGUGGGAGGGGUCGCACCUAUCUCUCCUCCAAGGCGGACGAAUUCACCAUCCAUCCAUAGUAAAUCAGUCUAGAACGAAGUAGGUUAAAUUCAUACAUACCUAAAUCAAAUACAACUAGUAGCCUCCUUUUUGAAAAUAAAUAAAUAAUACAACUAGUAGCACACUGCGCGCGCGCAAACACGCAUAGAGCCAGAGGAAAGGUCCUUUGUGAAAUAAGUCACAUAGAGAGAGCGAGAGACAAAUAUCGACUUGUACAUCUUCACCGGCCUAUUGCUCGUCGCUAUCCAUGCACCGAAAUUGUAUACUCUAAGAAGAAUAAGAAGAAAGGGACCAGAGGAAUGGAUUUGAGACAUUUGGAACCACAGCCGCCACCCUUUGUUACUUACUUCCUUUCUUUCUCACAGUUUUAUUAACGUGUAUACUCUCGGAAGAGAAGAAAAGGACCCGAUAGGAGCGUGCAUGUACCUUUCGGCCAACUCAGCUUCUUUUACGGUAAAAAGUUAUAGCUACAAAAAUCGGGGUGAGCUUUUCAGUUUGUUCACAUUUACACCUGCACCAGCGAAGAACCAACAAAAAAAUUUAUACAAUUUUUUAUACAAGCUACCAAUUUUUUAUACAAAAAGAAGCUUCUUGCAUGAAGCUAAGAAAAGACGCACUAAACAUGAAACCAUAUGUAACGCCGAGCUAGUUGCAUACCUGAAAUUAGGCAGCGGUAGCGGCGGGAGAAAAGAAUGCACUAGAAAUGUUUUGAAGUGUUGCGGUAGAACAUGCUACGCACAGCUGGCACAAUGGUCAAAUCGAUCCCUUAAUUUGUGCACCACAACAAGCUCUACCUCUUGCCCAAUAUGGAGUAACUAGAUAAUAAGCCAACUACGGCACGAAUACCUAGGCUAAUUUGGGUACCUUUUUGACUUUCUGGUGUAAUCAUGGCCGGCCGGCAUUCAUCCUCGUCCGGAGAAGCUGCACUGAAAGUCUGAAACAAUGGGGUACCGUCCUCUUAAUUUGUGCACCAGGUAGUAGUAUAGCCUUUCCAUUCAUCUUUAUGUUUUUCUUUCCUUGCAUUGCUCCAUUCAGGCUAAUAUUUUCUUUAUGAAAUGCUAUCUGGCGACCAUUCCCCAGGAGGAAAUCUCCAGCGAACGCCCUCAUAGCCACAGGAUCAUUUUCUGAUGGUGUCAGUUUUUUGGAUGAAACUUAAUACUCCACGAAUGAGUACUAUCUAUCUAGCAUAUGUGCUUUGCUAUGUGGACCUUUACAUGUUGUAUUUUACAUAUUAAAUAUGUUACAAUAAAAGCUAGCGGCCAAACUUCUGGUUUGGAGGCAUCGAUAAUACUACUAGUAUCAUGAAUCCCUCUCAAACGACUCCAGUAAUCUUGGUUAGUGCUAGUAGUCCGAACCCUUGGUGCAUGUUGUGAAAAUUCAAGUCUACUUAGAAACGUACACGCAAUGAUAAAGCAUCAAGUUAAAACGAGCAAAAUACGCAUGAAAAUCUCAGCGUCUUUCCAAAAGCAAAGCGAUCACUCGCAUCUUUCUCCAUCUCCUUUUCCCCCUUUUCUCUCGCGUGUACAUGUGUAUGUGCUGCUUUGAUUUUGAUUCGUGUGGAGAUGGAUUGUUUGGAAUAUUUCUUUGGAAGGACUGGCCAGCUUUGUUUGAUCGACACACACCGCGGCACAUAUACAAGCAUAGUCGGCAGUGGAUGUUUGGUAGAGGGAGCCACAACGACGAUGGGCUCGAAUAGAAUCCGAUGCUUCCUUCUGGGGGCUUUCUUUCUUGGUUUGUCAUAUAUGCACAUUGCCUUUUUGUUUUUUCUUGUGUGCUGGAGGCACCCACAAUGCUUUAUUUAUUUAUAAUUCAUCUCGACAUGAAUCUAUUCGGCCCAAUUGAAACAGGCAUUUCCAAUGCCCACACAUUUCAACGGUAUCGCAGUUCGGAAACACGGACACACGGUCAUGCAUCUUAUUUUUGUUCUUUUUGCCAGGUAGGGUUAACAAUAUCUUAUUCUUGGUUGACAAUUAUUACUCUACGAAGUAAGAAGGCAGCACCUUAAUCUCUGGUGCAUCCAUAAUCAAAAGAGACUACUACACAUAGAACAUAACUAAACAGCAACGCCGCCGUGAGUUGGCUGCUCGGUCGACGGGGACCGGCGGCGAGGAGGCGCAUGUACCGGCGCCGGCGGUGGGUGCUUGUGGGACGGUGGCAUUGGGAAGGGCUCUGUCGGGAUGGGUGGGAACCUCCGCUCCAUUGUCGCCCCACGAGAAUCAGCACCAACGGCGGUGCAGCGGACCAGCAGCACUGCUAUCACCGCCAUCGUGACGACCGACCUCGCCAUGGUGGACAAUCGGCCUCUAUGCAUCUUUUCCAUGAAGUAUAGGAGUAUGUCUGAAUGGCAUCCCCUAGACAAUUAGCCCGGUUUAAAUAGUAGCAGCGCUAGUAAAGUGAGGUGAUUAGUAAUUGCUAAUUAGGUUGUCAUUUAUUAGGUUCGAUCCAUAUCCAUUGCAAACUCAUUAAUUCUUACCUUUUUUAGUCAAAUUCAUCAAUUCCAACCAUGCUAGGUUAUGUGAAGGUAAACGUUUCUAG
rnacentral:lncRNA from 1 species